UUUAGGUCAGUGCAUUCUAAUAUUGUAAAUGUAAGUAUUGAGAUUUUAUGUGUUAUGUAUUGUGUUUCUCGUGUUUACAUGUGACACAUUUUCAAACCUCAACCCACACGCUAGACGCUGACGACUGAUAUUUAUUCGUCAACUCCACACUUGACCAAGACAUCCUUUCACAGUCCACGCACUCUAGGUGUUCGAUCGAAAGCGCCCGUGCUAUUUCAACACCGGCGUGAUGGUGACCGACUUGGUAGAUGGACCGCUUACGAGAAAGAUCGAGAAUUCGAUGGAGAUUCCCAAGGAGAAGCGGAUAUACGAGCUGGGUUCUCUUCCGCCGUUCUGGUGUUCGGCGGCGACGUGGAAGCAAUUCACCACUGAUGGAACCAGCAGAAGAUUAGGGAAUGCCUUGCCCUGUCGAUCUUCUUUGGGCCCCUUACGACCUCUACAAACACCAUCAAAGUCACCUUCAAGAUCUGCAUCUUCUUCAACAUCAUCACCAUCAACAAACACAUCAGCAAUUUUUUAUGUUCUAGCACAAUUAAGAGAGGAUUAUUGUUUGAUUAUUUACCUUUUUACAGAAAUCAUUGAUGCAUAGGAGGAAAUAUUAUUUUACCAGAUGUAAAUAAAUAGUGAGAGAGAUUUGAAUAGGGUGAAAUAGGACCGGCGAUGGGUAGACAGGAGGGAUAGGGUUUUGUUUUAAUUAAUUUAAUUGUUAAAUAAAAAUUAGGGUAAACAGCCAACUUAGUUCCUAAAUUAUCACAUUAGUGAAAAUUAGGUUCCUAAAUUAUUUUUUUCAGAAAAAUUAGUGCCUAAAUUAUAAAAAUCUGCCAAUUACAUUCCUAAUGUUAUAUUCGAAGCUACUAUAUUCAAUUUUUUGUCAAUUUAAGUCACGUUACUUGCAUGUGAUACACAUUGGAGGGUAGAUUGGUAGUUUUUAUAAAGAAAUAGCGUAUGAAGUUAACUUUAGAGGAUAAAUUGAUAGUUUUUCAUAAAGAAAUAGUGUAAAUUAACUUUUAAGGAUAAAUUAGACAUUAAAUUCGUAACCUAUAUGAAAUGUUAAGGGCUUAUAAAUAAGAAAAUGAUGGUAUUGCACUUUAAAGUGUGUCAAAUGACUUAAGUUGAUGAAAAAUUGGAUAAAAUAGCUUUGAAUAUAAUAAUAGAGAUGAAAUUAGCAAUUUCUAAUGAAUUUAGGGACUUAUUUUACCCAAAAAAUAAUUCAGUGACCUAAUUUUCACUGAGGUGGUAGUUCAGGGACUAAAUCGGCACUUCAUCCUGAAAAUUAAUCAUUAAUUAUUUUUGUAUUCAAUGUGGAUCCCGCUCCUACCACGUCAUCAUUUAACAGUCAAAUUGACAAAAAAUUCUGACAUUGCAACGAAUUCAUAAGUUGAAGUAUGAUAUUGCAAUUUUUAAAACAUAAGGUAUGAGAUUGUUUUUCGACUCAUAAUUAAGGUAGUUUUUUUUGUAAUUUACACAUUCUUUUUCGAUUAUGUGCCGUGUUUGUCGUGUUUGCAUGUGACACAUUUACAUGCCUCAACCCACACGCGUAACGUUGAAUCUGAUAUUAUAUGCAUCAACUUCACACUUGACCAAGACAUUUCAAUCCUUCACACGCAUGUUGGGGCUGGACUUUGUUCAGUCUGUGCAAAUGGAUGGGGCCACGGGAAGACUAGACGGGGUCGCUCAACAUUGGCGCCACACAGCUCUUGAUUGAGUUGAAAAAUCCUUCCCGAAAUUCCAAGCGUAAAGAAAGGAUUAGAAACUCUGCACCUCCAAAAUUCUUACUAGCUUGGAUUUAUUUGUGGAGGUGAUAGAAGCAAAGGGGAGGACCAUGCAGAAAAAGAGUCGUUCUUGAACUAGUGUUUGUGGAUUUUACAUUGUUGUAAUCUGUUUUAUGACUUGUAUUACACACUACAAAAUUCCUAUGUUUUAUGAGCUUUAUGUAUGUUUUCUUGAACAAUAUUUCUCAUAAUUUUUCAAUUACCAUUCAAAAAUCAUCCAUGCAAAAAUUCAUUAAAAGCGAAAAUCAUUUAAUUACUAAUUGUGGCAUGACAAAUAGAAGACGACGAUGACAGAGUUGUCGAUAACAUGUAUAUAACUUUGUGUUCUAAUAUUAACUUGGAAUCUAUAAAAUUUGGUGUUAAUUGUAAUAUUCAGUGAUUAUUUACAUAAUAGUACAGAGGAUCCUUAUAAGGUCGACGUACUAACGAGAAUACAUCACAUAAAUAUGCUAUUAACUAAAUUCUAUAAAUACUAAAACCGAGCUGCUGUUCUAAAGCACAAUGAAAUGACGGAUUUGUCAUCCUCAAACGUUCUUUUCUUUCAUUUAUUUUAAGGAAAACUAAUGAAAAAUGUUUGAAAACUUUGAGUUUUAAUGAUAAUGACAAAAUAAAGGGUAAAGUAAAUAGUACCAGGUUUGACUUUUUAGUGUAAAAAUGUGGUUUUUCGUUAAAGUGAACAGUACCGUGGGCUUUUCGUUAAAACUCCCUUUAUUUUAUGGGGGUACAGUGAAAAGACAAGAAUGCCCAUUCUUAGGCGUGGUUCGCUCGUGGCUUUCCUCCCCCACCACUGCUUUCUUGCUUCAGUCCGAAUCGACACGUUCCCUGACCUUUUCCUUGUUGCUGCAGUUCGAAUCCACAUGACAACCUGCUCAUCCAAAUUAAUUUCUGUACGUUUCAUUUGGCAACCCUAUUCUUCCACAUCGUUCUAAACCCAAAACCCAAAACCCAAAUCGUUGUUGCUCAUCCAAAACCCAGACAACCGCCACCACCACGUUUUACAAAUUCCUCUUGACUGAAGGUAAGCGAAAAUUGCCCUCUUCAUCUCCACAAGUAAAUUUGAUUAUCUAUUAAUUUCUCCCAAUUUUUUUUGGUUUCAAAUUUACAUCGAUUGCUAGGGUUUUGGAAGGGUGUAUGGGUUUGGGUAAUAUUCAUAAACCAGGUUGCACAGACACUUUGAAACUCCAAAGUGUCAGAGUUUGUUUUUAAUCCUCCAACAUUUGACGCAUUUUAGACUAGGUUGCAUGGACACUCCGACUCGCCCCUGACACAGGUUGGACACGACCCGACAAGGGUAUUUUUGUAAAUUUGAAAAAUAUUUUGAAUCAGUUUGAAAACAUUGAAACAUUUGGGGCAAUUUGAAAAUACAAAACCUAAAGCCUAAAAACAAAGGAAAACUAAUGAAAAUGACUUGAAAACUUUGAGUUUUAACCAAGAACCAUGUAAUAACUUUAUUUAAGGGAACUUUAACAAAAAGCACCUGGUACUGUUCACUUUAACGAAAAACCACAUUUUUACACUAAAAAGUCAAUCCUGGUACUAUUCACUUUACCCUUUAUUUUGUCCUUAUUAUUAAAACUCAAAGUUUUCAAGCCAUUUUCAUUAAUUUUCCUUUUAUUUAAUGGUUAGACAAAGCCUAAUACUAAAUCAGUCUAAUUAAAAUGCCCCAAAUAUUGAGUUUACAAUUUAUCCCUAACGGCAAGCUUUUGUCCGUUAAUCUCUCUUCAUUAUGGAUCUCUCUCAUAUUUUCUCCCCCAUUUUUUCUUGACAUUCAAAACCUUCCAUUUUUCUUUCUAAUCUCGCAUAGCAACUCCAUUUCUAUCACUAUGUAAAAACCACAGCUUCGACCCCAAACCUAAUUUUGAGCCGUCUCCAUCUCUGUGACAAUCAGAAACGAUCUCUUACAAGCAAAACGGUAUGAUUUCAUCACUCUCUCUCUCUCCCUCCCUCCCAAAAUUUCUCUCUCUCUCUCUCUUCUCUGUAAAGAUGAGCAAGUGAUCUGCACUUUCCAGAUACAGUUUUGCCAACAUUUUUUUUUUCCAGAUACAGUUUUGCCAACAUUUUUUUCUAGAAACAGUGUUAUGUUUUUGUUUUCUAGAAAUAGUGUUAUAUUUUGGUUUUUUUUUUUCAAAUACAGUGUUUGUUUGUUGAUAGGAGCAUAUUUAUGCGACUUAGUUAGCUUGUUUCUUGGCAUUUAUUUAGUUAGUUUCUACUUAUUAUAGUGAUUUAAGCUAUUUUCGUGUGUUUGUAGGUUCAAAUGACAAAGUUGGCAAGAAAAUGCAUUUUGGUGCAGUUUUGGGCUGAAUUGGAGUGCAUGCAUGUGGGGCAAGUUAAAUGGACGUUUUUGGUGCUUAAAUGAGGUUAGGAACAUGCUACAAAUUUGGAGAAACAAAUGCAAGUUGCAAGAAUGGUUGGUGCACUCACCUAACCUACCAGAAAUUAAAUGGAUGGUGCACCUACCUAAAUUGAUGGAUGGUGCACCUACCUAAAUUGAUGGAUGGUGCACUCAUCUAACUCACCUAAAUUGAAUGGAAUGUGCACUCACCUAACUCACCUAAUCCAUCUUCUCCCUAUAAAUACCCAUUGCCAUGCAUUCAUGUAAGAGACUCAUCCACCCUUCACCAUAACUUACCUAUAUCCAUCCACCACCAUAACCUAUCACUCAUCCAUCAUACCACACAUUGUGCCGCUGCAAAGAAGAAAAAGGAGGAUUGCUUGGAGUUGUGCUAGCCAUUCAAUUUGGAUUGUUGAAGCAUUCUAGGUGUAUUCUACUUUGGUUUUCAAUGUUUAAUUUCAAUUGUUAACUAAACCCCUUUUGGCUAGGGGGAAUUUCGAAACCAUGAACAUAUUUGUGUUAUGAAUUGAUUAAUUCCAGUUGUGAUUUCAUAAAGUGUGAAUGCAAUUUGCUUAACUGUUUUAUUCAAAACUUAUUCUUGUAUGUUGAUUAAGAAGGCCUACAUAGUUUGCAUGCUUGAAUUUGAUGCUAAAAUAUAAAUGAGUUUCACCUAAUCGUUACAAAUUUAUAUUCAUGAGUAGUGAAGGUUGCUAGUCACAAUCGCAUUAAUUGAAUUCUUGGCAAACAUAUCAUGCAUUCAUAGUUACGAAUGUCUCGUCAACACUUUUGAUUUUCAUGGAACGUAAUGAUCUCUGAUUGUAUCUCUAUUAUGCAUUCAUGUAGGGGACCUUUGGAGAAUGAUUUGGGUUGUCGCAUGCAUUCAUCCAAUUCAAUGAGUAAAGGAAAAUCUGAGAGUUAAUUAGUGCAUUACGGUUAAUCUGGGGUGUUGAGCUUUAUAAUUUAUUGAAAAGCAACUGGAAAUCGUUUCAUAAGCAAGUGUGUCAUGUGUGGAGAAGGAUCAUCUAGCUAGCCCAUCAUCCAUUUAAUUCACCAAAUUCGUCAAAAAUCUGUAUAGUUCUAGUUUAUGUUUUGUUUUACUUAAAAUUCGUUAGUUUUGUGUAUCAAAUUAGUUAGAAUCUAUCUUAGUUUGUGUUUUUAAGUGUUUUGAGUCAAGUUAAAACCAAUUUUCGUUCAAAGUCAUUCCUAGUGUCUAGUUUGAGUUUAUUAAUUGUUUUAAGCUGUUUUGUGACAUGCUUGAACUAGUGUUUGUGGAUUUUACGUUGUUGUAAUUUGUUUUAUGACUUGUAUUACAAACUACAAAAUUCCUAUGUUUUAUGAGCUUUAUGUAUGUUUUCUUGAACAAUAUUUCUCAUAAUUUUUCAAUUACCAUUCAAAGAUCAUCCAUGCAAAAAUUCAUUGAAAGCGAAAAUCAUGUAAUUACUAAUUGUGGCAUGACAAAUAGAAGACGACGAUGACAAAGUUGUCGAUAACAUAUAUAUAACUUUGCGUUCUAAUAUUAACUUGGAAUCUAUAAAAUUUGGUGUUAAUUGUAAUAUUUAGUGAUUAUUUACAUAAUAGUAGAGGAUCCUUAUAAGGUGGACGUACUAAUGAGAAUACAUCACAGAAAUAUGCUAUUAACUAAAUUCUAUAAAUACUAAAACCCAGCAACUGUUCUAAAGCACAAUGAAAUGACGGAUUUGUCAUCUUCAAACGUUCUUUUCUUUCAUUUAUUUUAAGGAAAACUAAUGAAAAAGGCUUGAAAACUUUUAGUUUUAAUGAUAAGGACAAAAUAAAGGGUAAAGUGAAUAGUACCAUGUUUGACUUUUUAGUGUAAAAAUGUGGUUUUGUUAAAGUGAACAGUACCGUGGGCUUUUCGUUAAAACUCCCUUUAUUUUAUGGGGGUACAGUGAAAAGACAAGAAUGCCCAUUCUUAGGAAUGGCUCGCUCGUGGCUUUCCUCCCCCACCAUUGCUUUCUUGCUUCAAUCCGAAUCGACACGUUCCCUGACCUUUUCCUUGUUGCUGCAAUUCGAAUCCACACGACAACCUGCUCAUCCAAAUCAAUUUCUGCACGUUUCAUUUGGCAACCCUAUUCUUCCACAUCGUUCUAAACCCAAAACCCAAAUCGUUGUUGCUCAUCCAAAACCCAGACAGCCGCCACCACCACGUUUUACAAAUUCCUCUUGACUGAAGGUAAGCGAAAAUUGCCCUCUUCAUCUCCACAAGUAAAUUUGAUUAUCUAUUAAUUUCCCCCAUUUUUUUUUUUGUUUCAAAUUUACAUCGAUUGCUAGGGUUUUGGAAGGGUGUAUGGGUUUGGGUAAUAUUCAUAAACCAGGUUGCACAGACACUUUGAAACUCCAAAGUGUCAGAGUUUGUUUUUAAUCCUCCAACAUUUGACGCAUUUUAGACUAGGUUGCAUGGACACUCCGACUCGCCCCUGACAUAGGUUGGACACAACCCGGCAAGGGUAUUUUUGUAAAUUUGAAAAAUAUUUUGAAUCAAUUUGGAAACAUUGAAACAUUUGGGGCAAUUUGAAAAUACAAAACCUAAAGCCUAACAACAAAGGAAAACUAAUGAAAAUGACUUGAAAACCGUGAGUUUUAACCAAAAACCAUGUAAUAACUUUAUUUAAUGGUUAGGACAAAGCCCAAUACUAAAUCAGUCUAAUUAAAAUGGCCCAAAUAUUGAGUUUACAAUUUUAUCCCUAACGGCAACCUUUUGUCCGUUAAUCUCUCUUCAUUAUGGAUCUCUCUAAUAUUUUCUCCCCCAUUUUUUCCUGACAUUCAAAACCUUCCAUUUUUCUUUCUAAUCUCGCAUAGCAACUCCAUUUCUAUCACUAUGUAAAAACUACAGCUUCGACCCCAAACCUAAUUUUGAGCCGUCUCCAUCUCUGUGAAAAUCAGAAACGAUCUCUUACAAGCAAAACGGUAUGAUUUUGUCACUCUCUCCCUCCCUCCCAAAAUUUCUCUCUCUCUCUCUCUCUCUCUCUCUCUCUCUCUCUUCUCUGUAAAGAUGAGCAAGGGAUCUGCACUUUCACCGACAUCGGCAAAAAAGCCAAAGGUGAAUUUUUGCCCUUCCCUCCUCAUUCAUCUGAUUAUUAACGUUUCAAUUUGAUGAAGAAGAAAAGAAGAUUUCGAGGUACUAUUUUUAAUUUUUCUUCUUCAGUGGAGUUCAUCAUUUGUUUCUCCAGGAAAUAAAUUUGAGAUUUGUUAGCUUUUUGUUCAGUUUUUUUUCUUUUCAGAUACAGUGUAUUUUUUUUUCCAGAUACAAUUUUGCCAACAUUUUUUUCCAGAAACAGUGUUAUGUUUUUGUUUUCUAGAAACAGUGUUAUAUUUUGGUUUUUUUUUCAAAUACAAUGUUUGUUUGUUGAUAGGAGCAUAUUUAUGCGACUUAGUUAGCUUGUUUCUUGGCAUUUAUUUAGUUAGUUUCUACUUAUUAUAGUGAUUUAAGCUAUUUUCGUGUGUUUGUAGGUUCAAAUGACAAAGUUGGCAAGAAAGUGCAUUUUGGUGCAGUUUUGGGCUGAAUUGGAGUGCAUGCAUGUGGGGCAAGUUGAAUGGACGUUUUUGGUGCUUAAAUGAGGUUAGGAACAUGCUACAAAUUUGGAGAAACAAAUGCAAGUUGCAAGAAUGGUUGGUGCACUCACCUAACCUACCAGAAAUUGAAUGGAUGGUGCACUUACCUAAAUUGAUGGAUGGUGCACUCAUCUAACUCACCUAAAUUGAAUGGAAUGUGCACUCAUCUAACUCACCUAAUCCAUCAUCUCCCUAUAAAUACCCAUUGCCAUGCAUUCAUGUAAGAGACCCAUCUACCCUUCACCAUAACUCACCUAUAUUCAUCCACCACCAUAACCUACCACUCAUCCAUCAUUCCACACCUUGUGCCGCUGCAAAGAAGAAGGAUGAGGAUUGCUUGGAGUUGUGCUAGCCAUUCAAUUUGGAUUACUGGAGCAUUCUAGGUGUAUUCUACUUUGGUUUUCAAUGUUUAAUUUCAAUUGUUUCUAUUUAAUUGCAAGUAUGAGGAACUAAACCCCUUUUGACUAGAGGGAAUUUCGAAACCAUGAACAUAUUUGUGUUAUGAAUUGAUUAAUUCCAGUUGUGAUUUCAUAAAGUGUGAAUGCAAUUUGCUUAACUGUUUUAUUCAAAACUUAUUCUUGUAUGUUGAUUAAGAAGGCCUACAUAGUUUGCAUGCUUGAAUUUGAUGCUAGAAUAUAAAUGAGUUUCACCUUAUCGUUACAAAUUUAUAUUUAUGAGUAGUGAAGGUUGCUAGUCACAAUCGCGUUAAUUGAAUUAUUGGCAAACGUAUCAUGCAUUCAUGGUUACGAAUGUCUCGUCAACACUUAUGAUUUUCAUGGAACGUAAUGAUCUCUGAUUGUAUCUCUAUUAUGCAUUCAUGUAGGGGACAUUUGGAGAAUGAUUUAGGUUGUCGCAUGCAUUCCAAUUCAAUGAGUAAAGGAAAAUCUGAAGGUUAAUUAGUGCAUCACGGUUAAUCUGGGGUGUUGAGCUUUAUAAUUUAUUGAAAAGCAACUGGAAAUCGUUUCAUAAGAAAGUGUGUCAUGUGUGGAGAAUGAUCCUCUAGCUAGCCCAUCAUCCAUUUAAUUCACCAAAUUCGUCCAAAAUCUGUCUAGUUCUAGUUUGUGUUUUGUUUUACUUAAAAUUCGUCCAAAACCCAAUCCCUUUUACUUUAGUGUAUCAAAUUAGUUAGAAUCUGUCUUAGUUUGUGUUUUUAAGUGUUUUGAGUCAAGUUAAAACCAAUUUUCGUUCAAAGUCAUUCCUAGUGUCUAAUUUGAGUUUAUUUAAUUGUUUUAAGCUAUUUUGAGUCAUUCUAGUUAGUUUUGAGUCUUUUCAGUUUGUUUUGAGUUCUUUGAGUCUAGUUAAGUGUUUUCAAGCCUAGUUUAAUGUUUUUGAGUCAGUUUAGAAUAGAUUAGCAAUCCAUCCUAAUCCCCGGUCCAGAACGAUCCCUACUUAUCCAUACUACAAUUGUCAACAAUAGGGUUUAAUUUGUGUGUUAAGUUAAUUUUCGCAUAAUUUGUACACAAACAAAACAAACACUGUAUCAUAUUAUUUUUCCUAAAACAGUGUUAUGUUUUGGUUUUUCUAGAAACAGUUUAAUGUUUUGGUCCUUUUUUUCGAGAGACAGUGUUAGUUUUUUCCAGAAAUAGUGUUAUUUUUUUGUUUUUCUGGAACAGUUUUAUAUUUUCGUAUUUUUUUUCUAAAGGUAGUGUUAGUUUUUUUCCAGAAAUAGUGUUAGUUUUUUUUUUCAGAAACAAUGUUAGUUUUUCGCCGGUUUGUUCCGAUGGUGGUUCUGAAUUUUUUUCCAUAAACAAUUUUAGUUUUCCAAAAAUAGUGUUAGUUUUUACACAUUGUAUCUGAUUUUUUUUUUCCAGAAAUAGUGUUAUUUUUUGUUUCCAAAAAACAGUGUUAUGUUUUUAUUUUUCCAGAAACAGUGUUAUGUUUUUUCAAAAAUAGUUUUAUGUUUUGGUUUUUUUUUUUCCAGAGACAGUGUUAGUUUUUUCCAUAAACAGUGUUAGUUUUUCUUUGAUUUGUUUCGACGAUGGUUCUGGUGCGUUUUGCACUUCUUUUUCUCCAGUUUGUUCACAUGAAGGUUCUAGUACGUUUUCCACAUCUUUUUCGCCGGUUUGUUCCAACGAAGGUUCUAGUACAUUUUGCACCGCUUUUUCGCCUGUUUGUUUCAACGGAGUUUCUGCCAUUGAAUUUCUUUGAACUUGUUUCGGCGGCUUUGUUCUGAUGAAUGCUUCAUUUUUCAACUUUGAUUUGGUGGUUUUUGAAAUGGGGGAAUUCGAUUUGAUAGGAAGACAGAAAGUUAUUAUGGCAGUUUCGUGUUGGUUUGAGGUUGGUGAAGAAUCAGGACAAUAUCGAAUCAUUUAGGGGUAUUUACGGAAGUGUAGAUUUGUAGUGGGUUGGGCUUGUAAGUUUGGACCGUGGACAAAAGUUUUGGAUGUUUUUUUAUUAAACUUUGAGCCCUUUUGGUUAAAUAACAUUUUGGGAUGGUUUUUGGUUAAAUAUUUGUUGGUCCAAACACUUUUCAUUAAAGCUCUCUAAAAACAACCCAACCUAAGCUAACUUGAUUCUCUAAUCUGCGCCUUCCUUCCACUUCUCUUCUCCCAUGCACUCUUCCUCUCUACGGCCUCCACUCCAGUUGCAUUCUAUUUUAAUUAGAGGUGAGUGGUUGAUGUUUCACUCACCCUCUUUAUUUAUAAAUGAUGUUAGGCUUAUUUUUUUAAAUUUGUUGGUUGUUUAAUUUGUUAUUGGGCAUAAAUAUAUCGUUUCUUGUUUUAAUUAUUAUACUUGUGUUAUUAUAAUUAUUAUGUAUAUGUUAUUUUAGUUAAUAUGUCUAAUGAAUGAAUUUGAUGAACAUGAUUAUUUUGUUAUAUUAUCAUUCACAUUAUUAUUUUUAAUAUAUGCUAUAUUUAUUAUAUUUUAAUUGAUGUGUCCUAGCUGUGUCUAUAUCAUAUUUUUUAAGAUUUGCCGUGUAGUCGUAUCGUCGUGUCGCGUGUCGUCGCAUCUGUGUCCUUAUCUGUGCAACCUAGAGUCUAGAUUUCGUUACGGAGCUGAAAAAAUCUGUUAACUGAGGUUAAUUGCAUAUAACAAACCAUGGGUUCUAUUUGAGAUUUUCGUCAAUUUAAUUACGCGGCAAGAUAUAGGAUCCAUAAUGAGACCUAAAACCAAUACCCAAACUUGCACCCUACGUUAGAUAAAUUAUUUGGAUAAUUUAAAUAAUUUGAUGAGAGACUUGAGUUCAUUAUAUAUUUCACUUGUGAAUGCGGUGAAGUUGAUCAAUACGUAAAAAGUCUUGGUCUAUGAAUUGAUGAUCAUUUUUCUUAUCAAAUAUUUUGCUUUAUAAAAGUAAGUAACCAAAAUGAUGAAUGAGAAGACUAGCUCGGUCCUCCGCGUGAUUCGUGGUGGCAAAGAUUCACCGAAGGUUUGGAUUACAUAACAUCAACUAUACAUGAUACAGUUUGCGGCUAAGCCUUAGAUGAAAUGAAACACACAUAACCAUGAAAUCAGAUAGGAAGCUGCCUAUUACGAUUUCGUUUAAUUGUAAUUAAUUUUAAGAAUACUGUAUUUUCCUUUAUUCUCUCAUUAACUUGGAGUAGUCCCCCGAGUCUUGUAAAUUGCCUUGUAUAGACUCCUAUUUCCUGUAUAAGUUUGGCUCUACAGCCACAUCAAUGAAAUAUGAAAUUCCAAUUACUACAGACACCAUGGAUUCAUCUGAUCCAUACUUCCUACAUUCCUCGGAUCACCUAGGACUUCAUCUUGUCUCCAAGGUUCUUGAUGGAGAUAACUAAGCCAUGGUGUCGUGCCAUGACAAUUGGUCUUAGAGUAAAAAAUAAGAAUGGCUUCGUUGAUGGAGGAGAUGCAACGAUACGGUCCUCACUUGGUUAGCGUAUUCCUUAUGCCAAGAGCUACUCAAUAGUAUCAUAUACCUAAGUACUACGGCUACAGCUUGGUCUGAUCUCAAAGAUUGGUUUUCACAAGGGCUGCAGUCUUGGGUUUACAUGGCUUAACAAAUUAUAAAUUUGGUUUCCACGCAGAGUUCCCAAACACUACACUUUUCAACCACUCAAUACAACUAUAAGAGCAUCUCCCUAUUUUGCCUCAUGAACCCCCUAGGUAUUUUUGUCUACGCAUUUGUCGAGUCCCUUGGGGCCAUGUUUUGCUGAUGUAGCGCAACAAAUCUAAUUCGCCUCGUAAAUUGCCUGGUCUUUUAGAGAUGUUCUAACACAACUCCAUGGCGCGUUCCUUUGGCGAAACAAAAUUCUGACACAACAAUUUCUCUGCAACCAGAGGGAGUGGCAAUUAUAUUCUAAAAAAUGAUUCAAGUAAAUAAAACAAGAUAAACAAAACAAGCAAACUACUUGUAUGUCUUAAAUGGGUAAGUUUUUAAUAGUCCGAACUACUGUGUAGUACAACUUUAUAUUCAUUAAAUCAGCAAGUAAGCAAAACAAUAUUUCCUAAAUUUAAUGUUGAUCGUUUAUUUUUUGUGCUACUAAAUAAUCCGAACUAUAUCUCUGCUGCUUCAUUAAAAAAAAUUUAGUCUAAACUAUUGAAGAAAAUUGGUCUUCUUCAUAAAAGAGUGUAACUUGUUUUUUUUUGCCAAAGCUUGAGGUAUCCCACCUACACCCCAAAGGGUAGGAUUAAUCACCAGCGAACCUGAAAAGACAAAAGGCAUUUUAACCCACCCUUGACCACGGUCAAAUGACACAUGUCCUCCCAAAGUUUUCAACAGUGAAUCACCGUAAUUUUACUAGUUUCAUACCUUGAAUCUAAGGCUGAGGAGCAAACUUGAUUUGAAAUUCUACCAUAUUUCCAAUGGACCACUUGUCGUGGUUAUAAAAGAGCAUAACUUGAGACUCGACAUUCUUCAAUUCAGUUCCUUAAUCAUACAAAAAAAUCCAGCUUUAAUUUUUGUAUUUGUAAUUUAGGGCGGGAGAGAGAGAGAGAGAGUAAAAACCACAAAACGCAGAGCUUUAUAUGUAAUGUAAACAAGACUAAGGACCAAUGUAUUUAUUUAUUGAACAAGCUAAGGACCCAUGCUUUAGAUAGGACAAAAGACUUUGAGGCCAAAGCGUGAUUAAUGAAAAAUAUUGUAAAACUAUAAUAAGCAAGCAAACACUGAUAUUCUCACCCAGUAUCUUUCUUCCCACCCACCAUUUAAUAAAAAUUUUAAUGACAUAUUCUCUAUCUGCUUCUAUUCUAUUACUUUUUUUUCUGCUUGGAAUUACAUUACAAGUAAAUAAAUGUAUGAACACUUUGGAUAGAUGUAGUGAGCCAUACACAAAUCGUUUGAGAUGCAGGGCUAUUAUAAUCGAAUUAGAUGUGAUGAGCCAUACACGAAUUAUUCAAAAAAUUUCUGCACUUUUUUGUUUUUAUAUAUGUUGUUUGGCUAUAAAAUUUGUGAUUACGUGCCCAGAUAAAAUUUCACAUCGAGAUUUCAAACAUUGUACUACAUUAUGGAUAAGAACAAAAAUUGACCUUCAAAAACAUACGUAAAGAUAUAGUUUUCGGAUACAAACUGUCCAUGUAAUAAAAUCUUUUACUGUCAAGUCUUAGUAAUUCUAGUAUAACUAAUUAAUAUGUAUUUUUCUGCUAUGAGUAUUAUGAUUUGUUCUAGCUAAUGGACUAUCUGAAAAUGUUAUGGUUUUCAUAGCGGUUUUUCCCAUUUUCAUUGUAGUCUCUCUCUCAACUGGGUUUCUCUGUCGCUGGCCCACUUCAUUCUGCUGCAGAUUUUUCCCAUUUUUCACUUCCGUUGAGGUAAAAGCCCAAAUCUGUGUAUUUUUGUGUUUGACAAGUUGGUAGGGCAAAUUGUUCUUUGAUCUGCAUAUGAGCAAUGUCUAUGUUUUACCUAUUUUGAUAAUGCUUGGAUUGUACUUCUUGACUUUUAAUUUGGUUUUUGUGUAUUGAGUUGGAUAGACAGUUUAUAGGUUUGGUUCCAUAUUUAUUUGGAGACGAAAAACACGAAGAGGGCAACACAAUAACCCUAACACGUGGCCAGGGUACAUUCCUUCACGUGAUGUUUACCUCCCGCACCGCACGCUCACCUUAGAUCCAAGUUUGGUGCACAGCCCUGUCGUACAUACCACAUUAGGUGGUUCCGACUUGUAGGUGACCCGCAACUAUUCGCACAGCCUUCACGUGAUCGUAGCACUUAAGCGUACUUAUUUACACACAACCCUGUAGUACAAACCACAUUAAGUGGUUCCGACUCGUGUGCAGUAAUUGGUAAAUGAGUUAUAGGCUUAGCCGUACAGGUCACAUUAGGUGACUCCGGCUGACAUAUCAGUUUACAUUGAUUUAUUUCACAUGGUUUACUUAUUUCAUUUUUGGGAUACUUGACAUGGCAUAUACUUGGUUUUCACUACUCUCAAGCUUGAUUUCUACAUACGUAUGUAUUACUAUUUUCUGGAAAAUUAUAUGGGUUUUACAAUGAGGGAUUAUUAUGUUCAGAAAAGAGAAAUGUGUUUUCAAACGUUUUGUUUUUGCCCACUCACCCUUUUGUUUUUCGCCCCUCCAGGUUUUAGCUGCUGAAAGUUCGUAUCGACGAGGAUUCUUGACGAAUCUCAGUAUGGGUGGUUACCUUUGAGGGUAUGAUCUUUACCCACACUACUAUACUUACUUAUACUUUGACGUCGCGUGUGAAAUGGGUCCAUUCCCGCUCACAGCGCACUUUUGUCUUUAGGCACUUUUAGGUUUAAAUUUAUUCACAUUUUCCAUAUCACUACACUUUAUGACUUCGUCACCUUCUAGGUGUCAGCCAGCACAGUUCGAUUCGGAGUCCUAGUGGACAUACCGGGUCGGGGUGUGUCAUUAGCACUCCAGAAAUCUCAUUUUGCACUCUAAACUUUCUAUAAUUAGAAAGAAAAUUACACUUGUGAGGAUUAUAGAAUGAGAUUUCUAAAGUACUAAUAACAGUUUCCAUUCGUCAAUUAGAAAUUAUUAUGUGAGUAUUUUGACUAUUGACUUAUAAUUGGUAUAUUUAUUCAGGAAAACUAAUGAAAAGGGCUUGAAAACUUUAAGUUUUAACGAUAAGGACAAAAUAAAUGGUAAAGUGAAUAGUAUCAGAAUUGACUUUUUAGUGUAAAAAUGUGGUUUUUCGUUAAAUUGAACAGUACGGGGAGCUUUUCGUUAAAUUUCCUUUAUUUAUUAAGGUUAGUUGAAGAGAGAAUAAAAGAAAGAUUUGAUUUCACAGAUGAAAUUAAUCAAAUGUCCCAGGCUCUACAGUUCAAUUCUCUUGGUAUGCACUAUGGACAUUAUUCAAGAAAUUGAUGGUUGUUUUAGCAUAGUGAGAUUGCCGUUGUACGCUUGCAGGAUUAUGCUUUUAGUUUUCUCCUUGAUCAGUUCAAUGCUAGAAAUACAGAUUUGCAUUUUCUUGAUUUGAAUUUGUUUUAGCAUAGUGAGAUUUGCGUUGUACGGUUAAAGGAUUAUGCUUUUAGUUUUCUCUUUGAUCAGUUCAAUGCUAGAAAUACGGAUUUGCAUUUUCUUGAUUUCAAAUUGAGUAUUUUUUUUCUUUCUCAAUUCUGCCACAUAGAUAAGUAUAAAAGUUCUAGGAAGAGAUUGAAAUUGGUGAAAUGCUCAUUGAGGCUGGUAAGGAACUGAAAUUGGAAAUUAUGGAGUGACAACUUUGGUUUGAUCUGAGUGUUAAGUCAUUUGAUGAAACUUUUGUUGCAGUUAUCUUGACACAUAUGAUGUGAGUAUCUUGACACACUAUAAUAGGUUUUCUUUUUGGCAAGUUUGUGUUUCUUAUUCCCAUUCAUGAUUCUGUAAUCAUUUACAUUGAUAUCUCAUAAAUUGGAUGUGAAUAUAUUUAUUGUAUUUUUACUUUUUUAGCCAAGCAAAUGAUUUGAUUGAUAAGUUAAAGUCGAUUUCUUUUUCUUUAUGUCUACAUAUUAUAGGGGCAACGAGUAUGGGGGUUGAAGUUGAACGCAUGUGUGGGACAAAUUCCUAGCUUAUUCAGUAAGUCGCUAAUUAAGUUAGAUUAAAUUGCCUUCAUUUUUUUUUGUGUCCAUGAUCUAAUUUUACUUGGAUGGUUUAAUUUUAUGUGAUGAAGGUUUUUGCCAUUUUGUAUUUUAAAUAUGUUUAAGGUUGAAGAAUGAGUUAGCGAUGGAAUUCUGGAUGCCGAAGAGAAUAAGCCUGGUAUUGUUUCUUCUUUCUUUUUGAGUGAGCAUCUCUUUCAUUUCUUCUAAUUUUGCUGCUUUCUUUUUGUUGUCAAAUGUUUCAAAAUUUCAACUCACAUGUUCGUGUGCAUUGUUGAGGAGUGUAUUUUGCCAUGACUUGGCCAUUAUUCUGUCUUUUCAGUAAUUGUUUCUUUAUUUUUGUUGUAUUAUUUUUUGCAAAAGGGUUAUUAUACAAAAUGGUCCCUGAGAUUUGCAUGAUCAAUAGAAAUGGUCCCUGAGAUUGUCCACCAUCCAUGAUUUUGGUCCUUCCGUAAAAAACUCUUUGGGCAAUUUUUAAAGCUUCGUAACUCAAUUGAUUCUUAACUAAAUUCAACUCAUAAUAUAUCAAAAUGAAGAUAAGAAAGUGUAGAACAAGAUUAUACCUAUUUGGAAGCCCAAUGAUUGCCGGAGAUGGCCGAAAAAUAGCCUGAAAGGUGACUGGUCCGCAGGAAAACUGGAAAACUUGCCGGAAACUGGGUAAACUUUAAACGUUUAUAACUUCUUCAAUACUUAACAAAAUCAAGUGAUUCAAAAACGAAAAUCAUACUUCUCGACAAGAUGAAGAGAAUGGUAUAUUUCUUUACUGAUAACUCACCGUGGUUUGGCCGAAAAAUGGUUAGCCACUUUCAAGCCGUUGUCCAACCAAACCACGGCGAGUUAGCCUUCAAAAAAGGUAUCAUUCUCUUCGUCUCAUCAAGAAGUAUUAUUUUAGUUUUUGAAUCACUCGAUUUAGCUGAGUAUUGAAGAAGUUAUGAACGUUUAAAGUUUACCUAGUUUUCGGCGAGUUUUACAGUUUUCUGGCGGACCAGUCACCUUUCAGGUUAUUUUCCGACCAUCUCCAGCAACCAUUGGGCUUCCAAAUAGGUAUAAUCUUAUUCUAAACUUUCCUAUCUUCAUUUUGAUAUAUUAUGGGUGGAAUUUGGUUAAGAAACGAUUGAGUUACAAAGCUUUGAAAAUUGCCCAAAAUAGUUUUUAACGGAAUGAUCAAAAUCAUGGACGGUGGACAAUCUCAGAGACCAUUUCUACUGAUUUUCAAUCUCAGGGACCAUUUCUAUUGAUCAUGCAAAUCUCAUGGACCAUUUUGUAUAAUAACCCUUUGCAAAACCUAAUCAUCAUAGCACAGUUUUUUCAAACAAUUUUUUUUUUAAAAUGUGUUGCAAAAUGAAUGAUGCAAUAAAAAAUACGAUGUGAGUAUCUUUGCACGCUGUAAUAGGUUUUCUUUUUGGCAAAUUUGUAUUUCUCAUUCUCAUUCAUGAUUCCAUUAUCAUUUAUAUUUGCUUCUGCAUGAUUUCUCAUAAAUUGGAUAUCAUUUUUUUUCAACUUUUUUAGGCAAGCAAAUGAUUUCAUUGAACAAAAGAUGCAUCAAUUACAUGCUGCAACUGUAAGUUGGCGAAGGCAUUAUGGUGCCUUCAAAUUAGCGUCUUUUUAUUUUUAUUUUUAUGGUUUUUGACAGAUUACAUUAAUUUUAGGGUUAAUCUCAGUUUACUAUCUUGAAGUUUCGUGGUUUUCAACAUUUGGUAUAUAAAGUUUUUUUCAUCCCAGAAUCAUACCUCAAGUCUUAGUUUUUGGAUAGUUUCAUACAUCCGUUAAGUUUUUUGUUAGAACUUCUGUUAACUGAUGACAUGGCGUCCACAUAGACAAUACUGAACGCCAAGUAUCAAUAUGGACCCACUUCAAUAUUAAAAAAAAAAAAAAAAAAAAAAAAAACCACCUGUCUUCUACCUCCCCCAACCCUUCCCCUUCCUUCUUCUCUCUGCUACCCGCACCCACUUCAGGGUUGUAAACCCACUAAUUCUCUCUUCUUUACCCUCUCUCUCUCUACCCCUCAUGUAUUCUCUCUCUUUCACUAUUGCACGCUGCAACAACUGCGUCGUUGGCUCCAUUAUCGUCCGCAAGCUCCAAGCCCUAGAUUUCACCAACCUCGUCCUCUGCACCAGCUCCGAACUCGACCUCACCCUCCAAGGCAACGUUCAGUUCUUCUUCACCGUCGAAAAACGCUAAUUCGUAAUCCUCCUGGAUGAUUUCAUCUCCGUAUGUGGGUUUUGCCCUUGCUUGCAUCCUGGCUUCGAAGUUAGCCAAAUCCACCCUCUGAAUGUGUAAUUCCAGGGGCACCGGGCACACCAGGAGGAAAAUUGAAAAGGCCAUGAAAGCUAGCCAUAUCCGUUCUCCAAGAUCCUUUGUAUUUGCCUCCAAGAUGGAACAACCCUGGCCGCCAAUCAAGUGGAGUUCAUCUAUAAUAAAAGACUAACCCUUUGAAUCAAUUUCCAUCUUUCAUCCUUCAAUUUCCAUUUUUUAAAUCAAUUUCCAAUUUUUCGAAUCAAUUGAGUUGUGAUAAAUUCAGAAUUGAGCAAAGGGUUGGGCUCGGAAGUCAAAGAAAGCUGCGAAAGGGUGAAGAAUCUGAGUAUUUGAUAGGAUUGUGAUUAGCUUGAUCACGAUUAAGGGAAAUUUAGUAAUUCUAAUAUGUAUGAGCUGUUUCUAGUUAGUAAUUAGCUUUACGUGUAAAAGCCAGCUGGAUGUUAGUGUGGGAGAAAAGAAUAUAAAGGCCAAUUGUGGCUAAGGUUUUAAAUAUUGAUAUUAUGGGCGAUUUUUCGCCGAUAAUAUCGUUUUUUUCGGAGGACAAUAUUUUGAUACUCAUCCAUUUCAUUAUCGACAAUAUAUCCACAUUUUUGUCAAUAUUAUCGCGAUAAUAUCAAAAAACGAUAUUAUCAGCAUUUUAAUGCAUUAUUUGGACAAUAUAUCCCGAUAUUAUCGAUAAUAUCAAUAAUAUCGCGAGAUAAUACCCAAAAAUACUUAAAAAUGCUAAAAAGUCUCAACACAUACUACACUUGAUCAUAGCCCAAAGGCCGAGCAAGACAUGCUUUUCUCAGCUUGGGAAUGUGGCUUUUAUAGGCCUUCUUGCUUGCUCACUGCCCUCGCGUGGGCUAUGUGGGACUUGACCCAAUGGGAGAGAAAAUCGGAAUUUCGGCCGGAAAUUCAUACCCACUUUAAAUGGCCUUAACUUUAUCAAAACUCAACAAAAUCAAGCAAGAAAAAAAUGAAAGUUGUAGCCCUCGAAGAGACGAAGAGAAUGGUACCUCACACGACGUCUGAAUCGUCGUGGUUUGGUCGGAAAAUGCCUCGAAAGCCACUGAAGUCGCCGGAAACUGGGUAAGAUUCAAAUGAGUUUAACUUUUUCAAUACUCAACGAAAUUGAGUGAAACAAAAAGGAAAGUUGUACUACUCGACGAGACGAAGAGAUUGAUACCUUGCAUGCCGGCCAACUCGCCGUGCUUUGGUCGGAAAACCAAAACGUUUUGCCUCAAGGGCUGGUACAUGUGAACUUGUGACUCCAACUAGGUAAGAGCUAGAUCUAAUUUGGGGCCUUCUAUCCUAUAUUUGUGGACAACCAUCAAAUGCUAAAGAUUAAACAAACAUAAUAUGUUCUACUGCUUAGCAAAAAAAGCUACAAACCCUUUGCUUAUCAACAAGAAAAAACAAGUCAUUGCACUAGAUAUACUUUCAAAUUACGUUGAGUAGCAACCUGAUAUAUGUAUUCGGACAAAUUAUAAAACAAUUGACACACUCCUGGCUUCCAAAAUUCAAUUCUUUUACUUUAUAUAAACUUGAAAAAACAUAAUCGGCAUCCAAAUUAAAGUUUAGUCUUAUUCAACGUAUUGAUUUUCAAUCGUUAAUUGAUAUACUAUAAUUUGGAACUUCAACGCCUAGACGCAUGCUUAUGUGUAAGAAAUUUAAAGUGUCAAAUUCGGCACAUUAUUCUUAAUCAUUUUAUUCACUUCCUUUUUUUUUUUAAUAUCAUGAAUAAAACCUCCCAAUAUUGUACUAAUUAAUUAUAUAUAAAUGAUUAUGGUGUGUUUAAACUUCUUUCAUUAAUUACUACAUAUUUUCUACACUCACAAUGUUUGCCAGCUCGGUAUAUAAUCAACUUAAAUCAGUUAAAUCCAUCAUGCAAUGCAUUUCCUUCCAAUUUUUUGUGAUAAACUAAUAGAUAAUUGACUAAAUAAACAUCCUGCAAAGUUUCAUUAAAAAUUUCCAAGUUUUUCUUACAAUUUCCGUGGUUUCCAUGUAAUUUUUAUCGAUAUCGAUAUUAUCCCGAUAUUUCCAUCGAUAUUUCCGUGUUUUCGGACUACCGAUAUUUCUGAUAUUACCGAUAUUUUCUUCCUUGAUUGUGGCUUUUGGAAGGGCACGGUCAUUUUAUUGAAAAACAAUAUAUACCAAAAACAGUUGCAACUCUAUCUCUCUAUCUCCCUCCUCCAUACCCUGCUCUAUUACUUGGCUACUUGCAGGUCUCGAGUGAAGGACCUGAGGAAUUGAUCUUAUCAUUUGGUAUCAUCCUCUCGAUCCUGCUUCUCCCUCUUGUAUGCCCCGCCACACCUCUAAUUCUCGCAUGUCGGACGUGGACUCGCGCCUCUCCACCGUAGAAGUUGCACUGGAAGCUCUUCCUCAGCUGAUCCAGUCUUCCGCAGCAACCUCGGACGCACGAUUUACAUCCAUGGAAACGAAAUUCGCCCUGCUCCUGGAGCAUCUCCAUCGCGAUCUCGGAUCUCAUGGCGAUGCUGGGUCUUCUGCAACUCACCCUCCUUCGGUGACCGAUCCAACGAAUCAUCCCCUGAUCGUAACUGAUGAGGGCGAUUUUCGUUGCCUCGAGACUCUCCGUUUCCAGCGUCGCGAUUCUUUCGACGGCGAGGGUUUUGCUCAGCGCCCUCCGUGGCCGCAUCGCCUGGAUUUUCCCCGUUUUUCUGACGGUGACGAUCCUUCCGCUUGGAUCUAUAAAGCUGAGCAAUACUUUGCUUGCUAUCACACUCCAGAUCACCAAAAAAUCAUGACAGCUUCUUUUCACUUCGAGAAUGAGCCAUUGUAGUGGUUUCGAUGGCGAGAUUGCAUUCAUUCCACUCUAACUUGGGGUCAAUUCACCACUGCCCUAUGCCAGGAAUUUGGGCCCCUGGAUUUUGAGGACUGCACUGAAUCAUUGUUCAAACUACGGCAAACAGGUACCCUCCAAGAUUAUAUUGUUGAAUUUCGUCGCCUUGCCAAUCGUACUUCGGAUGUAGGCCCUAUAUUGUUGAAGAGUUAUUUUCUGGGUGGUUUCAAACAAAAAUUACGUUAUGAUGUGAAGUUACUUCGCCCAAAUUCUGUUUAUGAAGCCAUAUCAAUUGCUGCCCAAUUGGAGGCUAAGCUCACUGAUUUAAAACAGUAUUCUCCCAAACUUCUUCCACUAGCCAAAACUACGCUCGUCUUACCUCCACCAUCCACGGCUCGGCUUCGUCCUCACACCCUACCCUAUAAGAAACUCACACCCGAGGAGAUACAAUGAAAGAAGGAUAAGGGGGAGUGUUGGUUUUGCGAGGAAAAAUGGGUUCCUGGGCAUAAGUGCUUGCAUAAACAGCUUUUGAUGCUCGAUGUGUCUGAUGAUUUGGUAGUCGAGGAGGAACAAUUGGAAUCACUGGCCUCUGAGUUGCACAGUAUGUCUCUUAGUGCUUGUGCUUUCUAUGGUACCACAGCUAAACACUAUGUCCAAACCAUGAAAGUUGAUGGGAUCAUCAACAACUUGCCGGUCACCAUCAUUUUGGAUUUAGGAAGCACUUAUAAUUUUAUGGAUUGCAGGCUCGUGGAAAAAUAUGGUUGGCAGCUUCAACCCACAAAACCAUUUGAGGUGACAAUAGCAGAUGGGGGGAAAAAUGCGCAGUCAAGGGUGUUGUCAACAUAUGCACAUGGCGAUUGGGAGGUACAAGUGCAACACAAAUUUGUUUGCCUUACCAUUAGGUGGUUGCGAUGUUGUAUUGGGGGUACAGUGGCUAUCAUCAAUAAGCCCCAUGCUCUGGGAUUUCAGCAACUCACUAUGGAGUUCUCGAUGGAUCAGGCCACUUUCAAACUUACACAGUUUGCAGCCCCACUUCCUUCUUCCCAGUUACAUGACAUCAGUUUAUGCAAUCUUGACAAAGAGUUAUACAAUUCUACUUUGGGCGUCUUACUUUACUCUUUGGAGGGCAGCAAGCAAGAGGCCUCUGAUUUGAGCACCAACAGUUGCAGGAGCUGCAAAGGGUCUUAAGUACUUUUGAGGAAGUCUUCUUGAUUCCCAGCACAUUGCCACCUCUAAGGGAGCAUGACCAUCAAAUUCCCUUGAUUCCGGGGUCAAAACCACCUAGCAUUAGGCCUUACCCUCUACAGAAAAGUGGAAUAGAGAAAGCUGUGUAAGAACUCUUGGAUUAUGGUUUUAUCAGACCUAGCCACAGUCCAUUUUCGUUUCCGGUUUUGUUAGUCAAGAAGAAAGACGGAUCCUGGCGGUUGUGUAUUGACUAUAGGGAGCUAAACCACAUCACCAUCAAUGACAAAUACCAUAUUCCCUUGAUUGACGAUUUGUUGGAUGAGUUGCAUGGUGCCCGAUAUUUUUCUAAAUUGGACUUGCGCUCGGGGUACCACUAGAUUCGAAUAAACACUGCCGAUAUUGAGAAGACAGCAUUCUGAACCCACGAGGGCCACUAUGAGUUUUUGGUUAUGCCUUUCGGCUUAACCAAUACUCCGGCUACUUUUCAAAGUCUUAUGAAUGCAUUAUUCAUACCCCAUUUAAGGCAGUUUAUCCUUGUUUUUUUCGAUGACAUACUCGUUUAUAGUAAAUCAUGGGAGGAACACCUGUUACACUUGUCCAAAGCCUUAGAGAUCUUGCAACAACAUCAAUUAUUUUUUAAGAAGCAAAAAUUUUCUUUUGGUCAACAUCAAGUGGAGUACUUAGGCCAUAUAGUUUCCAGAAAAGGGGUAUCUGCAGAUCCAGCAAAGAUUCAGUCCAUUCUUGAUUGGCCUUCUCCUCGCAAUGUCAAAGAACUCAGGGGAUUUUUAGGCUUGACAGGAUAUUACCACAAAUUUAUUCCAGCUUAUGGAAAGAUUUGCCAUCCUCUAUAUCAGUUGACUAAGAAGGAUGGGUUCCAUUGGUUACAAGAUGCUGAGUUGGCUUUCCAGCAGCUUAAAACAGCCAUGACAUUGCCUCAACUGCUUGCACUACCAGAUUUUUCAGUCCUUUUUGUGUUAGAAUGUGAUGCUUCAAGUGUCGGAAUAGAGGCUGUACUUCAACAAAAAGGGAGGCCAAUUGCCUUUACUAGCAAAGCAUUGGGGCCUCGAAACCAAGCUUUAUCUACGUAUGAAAGGGAACUGAUAGCUAUCGUCCAUGCUAGUCAAAAGUGGCAGAACUAUCUCCAAGGCCAUCAUUUUGUCAUUAAAACGGACCACCAAAGUCUAAAAUACUUCAUCAGCCAACGGGCAACCACUCAUUUCCAGCAAAAGUGGGUCUCCAAGCUCUUAGGAUUUGACUACGAAAUCCAGUAUAAGCAUGGGGCGGAUAAUGUUGUUGCCAAUGCUUUGUCUAGGGCUUCGGGUUCCAACCUCUUACCUGAAGACACUUUGCAAGGUCCUGAAUGCACAGCAAUAACCUAUCCCUAUUUUGGGUGGUUAGAUGAUCUCAAGAGACAUUUGGAGUAAGAUCUUUGGACAAAUCUCUCUCCAAAUACCACCUAGACAAUGGUUGUUUGAAGUAUAAUUCCAUAAUGGUCGUCGCACCGGAUUCGAGUUGGAGGAAGAGAUUAUUUGAGGAGCAUCAUUACACUCCCAUUGCAAGCCAUGAAGGGGUGUUUAAAACGUAUCAAAGGUUGAAAAUGAGUUUUUACUGGAUUGGUAUGAAGAAGGGUAUCAAGCAGUGGGUAGCCGAGUGUAGAAUCUGCCAACAAAACAAAUACGAGACCAUCUCACCUCCGGGACUUAUACAACCCCUUCCUAUUCCUGAAAAGGUGUGGAAUGACAUAAGUAUGGACUUUAUCACUAGCCUACCCACUUGCAAAGGUAAAUUAGUGAUCAUGGUUGUGGUUGAUCGCCUAUUCAAAUAUUCCCAUUUCAUUGCACUAGGGCACCCGUACACGGCUAGCAUAGUGGCUCAAACAUUUGUGAAAAAUGUGUUUAAAUUGCAUGGCAUGCCUACCACCAUUGUCAACGACCGGGAUAUUAUCUUUCUGAGUAUGUUUUGGAAAGAGUUCUUCAAGCUACAAGGGUCUUGACUUUGCAUGAGCUCCGAAUAUCAUCCCCAGAGUGAUGGGCAAAGUGAAGUGGUUAACCGUUGCCUGGAGACUUACUUAAGGUGCUUCACAAGCUGCUAGCCUAAAAAAUGGCUCCAAUGGCUCUCAUGGGCUAAAUGGAGCUAUAACACCUCUUUUCACUCUUCUGCACAGUUCACUCAUUUUGAGAUAGUUUAUGGAUAUCCUCCUCCCCACAUUGCUGCAUACGAAAGAGGUACUGCUAAACUUGAAACAGUUGAACAAGGAUUGAUAGCUCGAGAUCAAAUGAUGUCCAUGUUGAAAACAAAUCUCUUGGUUGCACAGAAUUGGAUGAGGGUUCAAGCGAACAAACAUAGGAGUGAAAGGGUAUUUGAAGUUGGGGAUUUCGUGUACUUGAAGUUAAUUCCCUAUCAGUUACAGUCCUUGGCUAUGCAUGCUUAUCACAAACUACAUCCCAAGUAUUAUGGACCCUUUGAAGUGUUGGAGAAAGUUGAGACCGUGGCUUACAAAAUUAAACUUCCUCUUGAGUCCAAAAUACAUCCUGUAUUCCAUGUGAGCUGCUUAAAGAAACACUUGGGUGCAAGGGUCGAACCUAUUCCCCUACUUCCCUUGGUGACAGAUGAUGGCCUACUCACUCAAGAACCAGAAGAAGUGCUCCAACGAAGAAUGUACAAAAAGGGCAGUGCAGUUGGGGUUCAACUACUAAUCAAAUGGAAGUUCUGUUCAGCGGCAGAAGCCACAUGGGAAUACUAUGACUCUUUCACUGCUCGAUUCCCAGAGUUCAAGCUGUGAAUUGUAACCUUGAUGACAAGGUUGUUUUGGAAGGAGAGGGUAAUGAUAGGAUUGUGAUUAGCUUGAUCACGAUUAAGGGGAAUUUAGUAAUUCUAAUAUGUAUGAGUUGUUUCUAGUUAGUUAUUAGCUUUAUGUGUAAAAGCCAGCUGGCUGUUAGUGUGGGAGAAAAGAAUAUAAAGGCCAAUUGUGGCUUUAGGAAGGGUACGGUCAUUUUAUUGAAAAACAAUAUAUACCAAAAACAGUUGCAUCUCUAUCUCUCUAUCUCCCUCUUCCAUACCCUGCUCUAUUACUUGGCUACUUGCAGGUCUCAAGUGAAGGACCUGAGGAAUUGAUCUGAUCAGUAUUGCUCAUCUGUGAUUUCCGACGGGGCAGAGGAACACACAACAAAUACCCAUUCAUGGUCACGAGCACCGCUGAUCUGAGCUAAGCGUCCUAAGGGUUGACUGAAGUUGCGAGUUCGGCGGGGCGGUUUUGAUUGGUGGGAUGUUGAAGUUUUUGUUGGAGGAUGGCAAAAUUGUUGGAUCUUGGUGAUGGAGAUGGUGGUGGUGGCUGUUGUGAUGGGCAGCGACUGUGGGUUUGGGGGAGGACUGGUGAGUGACAGUUUCUGGGAGUUGAGACUUUCGGGGUUGUCGGGAUUUGAGUCACUACUUAAUGGUUAAUUUAAUAGCAAACUUAACGGAUGCAUGAAAAUGUCUCAAAAUUAUGACUUUAUGUACCACUCUGAGAUGAAAAAAAUUCAUGUAUUAAAUGUUGAAAACCAAGAAACUUCAAGGUAGUAAACUGAGAUUAACCCUUAAUUCUAUUAUUGUUUAUUUGAUAAAGUUCUCGAUUAAGAACAGCUACACUUACAUUAUUGUUCAGGACUAGCAACUGUAAUAGUACAGUGUGGCAGAUUCUCUUAUUUACGUCUGAAUUUGAACAAUUUAUUGUAUCAUAUAGGAAAGAUGAAAAGGGAAUAUGAGAUGAUAUUGAAGAAAGCCUUGCAAAAUGUCUGCCUGCUUAAUUCAGAUACCACAACUUCAGUUAUUAUUUAGGUGAGGUGUUCUGUUUGUAUGAAAAUCUUAAGUCUCAAAUAUUUUAAGCAUUGUGGUCGACAACUUGAGAUGGUUGUAAAGCAGUGCAUGUAGCGUUAAUGCCUUUUGCUUUACACGCGUAUUUGUUUCGUUCGAACUAAACUUGCAGUGUACAUAUUUAUGCUAAAGAUAAGUCAAGACCUUUGGAGCCUGAUAUUCUUUGUUAGAAUUUCUAUUACAAAAUUAGCGAGGGAUCUUGUCCAUUUAUGCUUCUAUUUAGUAAGAUUAGGGUGGUAAAGAUUUUUGUGGUGUUCUCUGGGUGUUGUUUUCAAACUGCAUUCAUUUCUUGCAUGACCGCAUUAAGAAGCAUUUUUUUGGUCGCACAUUAUGGCAGCACUUCGUUUUGAUUUGUAAACAAACUAUAUGCUUUAUAUUUGUCUUAGGUUACAGUAUAACGUUUGGCAAUUGAAUUUGUAAGACAUUUUAGCAAUUUUUUCACAAGCUUCCUAUUCCUGCCAGAUGCUCAAGUAUUGUGUCUUCUACUUUUCUGUGUUUUUCACGCAUGGUUGAUUACUCGAAACUAUGAGUAUAAUAUUGAUGACACAAUACGAUAUGCAAAUGAAUGUUUCUGAUAGCAUGCAUAUCCAUGUAUAGCAAGCAAAGUAUCACUUCAUUGGUUCUUAGGUAUUGUACUAUCAUUUUAGUUACUUUGUGUAGAAACUAUUCAUGCAUAUUCUGACUAAUACAUUCAAUCUCCGCAAUGAAGCACGUGCACAUUUUCUAGUUGUUUCUAAAAUUAUAUUUGAAUAUCUUAUGUGGUCAUAUUCAAAUAUGUUUUUAUAAUAUUUUUAUUUGGAUUUUGAAUAUCCAAAUAGGUUAAAUGUAUUAAAUUUUAUUUUUUUUUAAUUUAUAGGCAUUCAAUAUUGGAGUUACGCAAAAAAAAGAAGUGAAAAUAGCAAUUUGGGGUGUCUAGAGUAAUUUCCAUGCUAUGUUUGGUAUGCGCAGGACGGAACGGGACGGUUGUUCCGUUUUGCGUUUGGUAAACGCGUGACGAAUGGAACCAAAAAAAAUUAAAUGACUAACUUAUCCCUGUUGCAUUUGUUGUUUGGUGCAAUGUUUAUGUGAUAGGACGGGACAAGACAAUUUUUUAGUUGUUCAUAUUUGAACACAUAUAUGCUUUAUGUGAUAUGUUUUACAUUAGUACUUACUGAAUAUCAAUAUUUUUUUGUCAUUUUCUUAAUUCAUUUUAUUAAUAGUUUAUUAUUAUUAUACACACUUUUUUAUUUGACUCUCUUGCUUGUCUCUCUACUUUCUCUUCUUCCAUAUGCUUCUUGUUCUUCGCAUGCUCAGAUUGCUCCUAGUAAAAAUCAAACUUAGUAAAUCAAGCCCAUACUUUCUCUUCAUUUCUUUUUCUUUCUCUUCAAUUCAAACCCAUAUUUCUCUUCUUUUAAUUUCUCUCUCUUCAAAUCAAACACAAAAAAAUCUCAAAUUGUUUUUUUCAAUUUACAGAGGCUUCGUCGGAUCGUUGGAUUUGCAAAUUCAUUUCAAUGAAUUUUUGCAGCAUCGUCGUUGUCCUUCUCCCUAGGCUUAUGGUGACAGCACCAGAGAAGAAGGUGGAGCGCGGAGGGACUGACCAAGCAACGGUGGAGGAGCUUCAACAUCGUCAACAACGACCUUGGUCUCCUCUUCGUGUUUUUUGUUGUCGUGACGGUGACAGUGGUGGCGGUGCUUGUGGCGCUUGGAUGACUUCUCAAAAGCCUUGUCAUCGUCGGAAGAGGCCCGGCGGUGCUUGCUAUGCGAGUCUUGGGUGUCGCUAGCAAUGGUCUCGUUGUGGGACUAGCAAGGAGGAGGGAGGCGGCAAAAGGAAGGUGGGGUUGGGUUCGGAUGGGUUUGAUGAGAUUGGGUUAGCCAUGGUUAGGUUGUUAGGUUUGUGGUGGAGAAAGAGGAGGCUACAGGAAAGAGGGAGGGUAGAAGAGAGGGAGGCUAUGGGAAAGAGAGAGGGUAGACAAUGGAAUUCAUGAAACAGAGAAGGGUACUAUUGUCCAAAAAAAUUAUAAUUUUUUGUUCCAUAAGCUGGAACAAGUCGUUCCAGAGGAAAUGUGGAACGAAAAAAUGACUAAAAUUCGUUCUGCAGGACAGCGCAUCCAGACAAUUUGGCGCACCAAACGUGGAACGAGUGCGUUCUGUCUCACUGUGUUCUGUUCCAUCUCACAUGCUAAAUGAUACUUUAAUUACUAGUCUAUUCUAAAAUUGAGAAGGAAUUUGACUGUAGCUUAACUACAAUAUAAAGUUUGUUAUUCGAUUUUGCCAUUACAACAAAGCCAUCUAAAUUAGGGCUGGGUUGGAGAGUAAUUAUUAAAAGAUAUGAGGGUAAUUUUGUCCGUAGGUUUGGAUGCCCUCAUGUACACGUGUUGGGCUGACCAUCAGAUGGGUUGCAGAUGGGGAUCAACGACUGUGUGGUAUUUGGUGAGGAACAAUACUUGGCUACUCAAAGAUGAGUAUGAACUUCUACUCAAAAUUCUUAGUAUUUUAAUCACAAAACUUUGUACUUAUGAUCAAAAUCGUUCAUAUUAUGAAUCACAUUAUAAAGAUCAUCUCUGCAAAAAAUAAAUUAAAACUAAGGUCAUUUUAUCAAUUUAUUGUAAUAAAUACAUAGACGGUUCGUAAUGCUUUUACCAUUACCGUUCAUUUGUUUUUAAACAGUUUGAUGACCAAAUGACCUUAGUAUUAAUUGAUUUUUUUCAGAUGCGAUCUUUAUGGGUUGAUUUAUAAUAUAAAUGGUACUGAUUAUAAACAAGAAAUUCUAUAAAUUGAUCACGAAUAAUUUUGAAAAAUUUUGAGUAGGAGUUUUUAUUUGAGUAGCCAAGUACUGUUUAGCCAAGUUUGAUGACCUACUGUUCUUUGGCGAGGGGAUGGGUUACCGAGAGAGAGCCUUCAGCUUGCAAAAGAGGGAGAGAGAGAAGAAGAGAGAGCCUGAAGAAUUCCAACGCUUCUCCUGAACGAGGCUUAGCUGAGCAAUUCCACUUCUCUCUCUCACAAAUCUGCUUUCGUCGCUCUCGACUUCUGCUUCCAUCUCACAGAGGGUAGAGUUGCUAUUGGUCAGAUGGAGGAAUGGGUGUGAGAUUCGGUGAGAGGAAGAAGAGGGAGGAGCAGGGAGAUGGGCUCGAGUCCGCGAACGGCAGAAGAGAUCUUCAGGGAUUACAGUGCUCGGAGAACCGACGCCGUCCACGCUUUAACUAACAGUACUCCGAUCUCUCUCUCCUCAGUUUCUCUCUCGUAAUUUCCUUUUGGCUUUGGAAAUCUCUGACCUUUUGGGUGAUUUGUUUUCUCACUGAUUAAUUGACUGUUCUGCAAAGUAAAUUUAUUGAUUUUUGGAGCGAAAUUUAGCUCGAGUAACUGAAGAGAUCAAUUACAGCAGUUGGGAAACGUACAAUGAGAAUUUGAGUUCUGGGUUUUGGAAAUUUUCUUUCUUUUUUGGGAGUUCUGGGUUUUUGGAAAUUCAAAUUCUUGCAUUCGCAAAUCCAUGUAAAACCCUUCAAUUUUGUUUUGUUUUAACUUUUGAGGUAUGUUGGAAAUAACUUUGGUAAUCUUGAUUUUGGUUUGGUUCAGCUAGGGUCUAGACGAGUCUACCUGCUAUGGUGAAGAUGGAAGAUGCUAAGCCUGAAGUUUCAGCUUCCAACAAUUCAAAUUCCGAGAGCUGCGAUUCUGGUCUUCUCCAAGAUCGAUUUACUUAUUUGUGCAAGGUUGGCGCUUUUUGCCCCCUAUCUAUUGUCAUCGAAUUUAUCUUUUUAUUCUUUCUUAUUGUAAAUGUCAUUUUGUUUGUAAAGUUUAGUUUAUAAACUGUACUUCUAUUUACUUUUUGAAUUUCUUUUUUGUUUAUGUUGUCGUUUCUUGAUUUUAGUUUCUAUGGAUUUAUAUGGUUCUGAUUACAGAUGGUAUUUGUCAUUGGACGAGAACUCUUACAAGCAAGCUGCAAAUAUGUUCAAAGAAACCAAGAUCUGUUAAUAUCAAAUGCUUCAGCUAUUGGCAAUGGAACAGUAUGUAUUGUUAUUUCUCCAUUCUAUAGUCAUGUUAAUAAUGUUAUGUUGAAAUAAGGUCUGAGGUGAUAUCCUUUUUCUGGAAUUUUCUCUGACAAGCGACAACCCCAUUAGGCCCUUGAGAUGGCAGGUGAGGUACUUUUACUUAUCCAAUGUUGUCCCUUCCACCUUAUGUUGUUUAUUGUGGCUUAUACCAUUUAUUUAUGGGUUAUAACAUGUAUCUUCUCUUCUUUGCAUGUGGCAGUCCUCAACUUGAGUUGUGUGACUCAAAAGAUGGGGCAAGGUAACAUUGUUAUUUCUUUUCCUUAUAAGUAAUUUGGUUUCUAUAGAUACCAACAUGUUAGCGAAUCAUAAUAUCAUAACAUCGAGUGCAAAACAAUGACAUCACCAUGGCUGCAGUCAUUCGGGAAAAAAUAACAUACAUGGAACAUUGUUUGUUCAACAGACAUCUACACAAUUUAUUAUAUAAGAGAAAAGCAAAAUGCUUAAGAUCAAAUAACUUGCAGCUGGAAUGAGGUUGAGCAGAGCUGUUUAAGAGUAGAGAGCUAUAAUUGUACAUAUUUAACAAUUAUGUAUCUUUGUUAGUAAAGGCUUUCGCCUUUUGGGUUCAGUUCUAUCUUCUCUCGCCCCCUUAUAUGAUUGAUUCAAUGGAAAGGGGUUUAGUGCUUAACGAUAAAGAUACAAUUUUUAAACAAUUCGUUUCCUUUUCUUUUUAAUUUGGAUCAAAUUCACAAUCUUAUCGAUUAAUUUCAGAAGUUGGGAAUAAAUUUUGGAAUGUGUUUGCAUUUGUCCAUGCCACGAUAGUUUAAAUGAGAAAACUAAUGGACUGAUUAAUUUCAGUAAUUUCAUUAAACCCAGAUUUUGGAAGUGUUGAUGUUGCGGCUGUAGUGGAGGGGAAUGAGAAAACUAAAUUUUAGAGUUUUCUGCUCCUGUGUUAUGUUCCCUAACCUUGGUUUUGUAUUAUCUUAUUCAGGCAAAUGAGAAAACUGAAUCCAUUGUGAUUUGCGUUCUGACAGUGAAGAUGUAUUUCCAUAAUAAUCUUUUCAAAUAAAUGUUACUUUUUGACUUGAGAACUGUAAUUUACCUUUUUUAUUUUAUCUUUUCCUGUAUAUUUGAUUCAUAGGGCUCUUGUGUUGUGAAUUGUGACUGAAAAUUUGAUCCUCAUAUGGAUAUAGGCAAAAACCACUAUUUUUUCCUUAUUACUUUUCUUUUAAAUGUGUUCUGAUUCUGAGAUUGCCUCUUUAUAUAAUGUACAAUUUUUGUAGUUGCCUUCAAUGCUAUUGUCAAUGGCUCGGGUGCUCAAAAGAUCUGUACAAUAUGGUUUUGGCAAUACUGUGGGUAUUGGGGUGAAUAUCAUAAAAGCAAACUUGUGUAACUAUAGAUCUGCAAAUGUUUGGUAGAUAGAGCAAUUUGGGAAUUUGUUCACCGAAACAUCUACGGAUAUCAUGUAUAUCAUUUUGUUUUUUACGUGAAUGUUGGUUGUUGAAUGCCUUAUCAUUUUGGUUUUUAACUUGCCAUUGUUUAUCUAUAUCCAAAAUGAGUCUGAAUCUUUUCAAAUAAAUGUUACUUUCCGAUUUGAGAAUCUGUAAUUCACUUUUUAUUGGUCAUUUCCUAUAUAUUUGAUUUAUAGAGCUCCUGGGUUGUCAAUUGUGACUACUCCUCACAUGGAUUAUAGGUAAAACCACUAUUUUCUUUUCUUAUUACUUUUCCUUUAAAUGUGUUUUAUUCUGAGAUUCUCUCUUUUUAUAUUGCAAAUUUCCAACACUUAUGCAAACUUCAUAGCAUAGAGGAAAUCAAUGUUUUCCAUUUUGGGUACAAAGAACCAAAUAUGUUAUCUAUGUCUUUAAUGAACUUAUUACUUUUAAUUGUUUAGUUUAACCGAUGUUUGGAUGCUUAAAAAUAUUCUUCGUUUUUAGUUCAUUCUGCUCCUCAGUUUAUCUUACGUCUUUGAACCAAAUGCAAAUACCAAUCUUGCAUUGUUAAGCCCCGAAAUUAGAACAAAAAAGCUUGCAUGAAAUUUGAUGUUCUCUCUGAUUGAGAACUCAUUUUAAUUCUACUUGAAUUUUUCUCUGAUUGAUUUCUGGGUUUAUUAAAUUGUGGGUUACUAUUUCAAAACCCUCAGCAGAGCGUGGGCAUUUUUUCUAAUAUGGUCCUUAAAAUUCAGCUACAUAAAUAUUUGACAGAGAUUACUAGAAUCACAAUAUCAAUUAUUAUAAUGAACGGCAAAAUCGAACCAAAUAAUUAAGAAAGUAUCUCGACAGAAUACUUGUAACUGGUUAUUUAUGCAAGUACGAAUUUCACGGAGCUAAACACCAUAUUUUUCAACCACACAAUUUGCAACACUCUAGUAAUUAGGGUGUGCAGAUAUCAAAUACAUGUUUAUGAAGUUCAUUGUAAACAUUAAAAAUAAAAAUAAUAAAAUAAAAUUCCACAACAUCUCCUUAUUUGAUAGACUGCUCUAGCAAGAAUUCUAAUCUGAAGUUGGAGCUACAUAUUUCUCCUAGUUUUAUAGGGCCGAUAGCUUCUUGAUGGUAAGCAUACCAAAUGGAUCGGGAAGGCAAGGAAGACUAUGAGCUGAUAGUUUCUGUGACACAAAAUGCAUUGUCGGACGCAACCCAGGACGCGUCCGUAUACAAGCCAAUGCUAUACUCAUUACAAGCACCACUGCCUUUGCCAAUUCAUUGGCUGGAGGCUCUAGUCGUUGAUCUAACACAUCUUUCAGAAGCAACUCAGCAUUUUCAUUCGUUGACGUUGAUGAUGCUGAUAGGUUGGACUCUAGCAUAUCCCUGGGGUGCCUUCCCAUCAUGACUUCUAGUGCCACCACUCCAAAGCUAUAAACAUCACACUUAUCCGUCACCUGCAUAAUAUAUGCAAGCUCUGCGUAUAAAGAGAAGAAAAUUUGUCAACUCUACAAAAGAUAGUACAAAAUUGUGCAACAUUAAAAUUUUACAUUACCUGGCGCCAUGUAUCCUAACGAACCAACAAUGUUGGUCCAGUUGGAUGAAUCAAUACUCAACGGUCUUGCUGUUCCAAAAUCUGAGAGUCGGGGCUCGAAAUCUUGCUCGAGCAAUACAUUAUUGACAGUUACAUCACGAUGAACAAUUGGUGGUGAGCAGUCAUGGUGCAGGUAAGAAAGUGCAUGAGCAAGUCCUUGCACAAUUUUUACCCUUGUUGGCCACCCAAGUUCAGUAACCCCUUCUACCCCAUACAAUGCUUUUCCGAGGCUGCCUUUCUCUAAGUAUUCGUAAAGCAAGAAUAUGCAACCCCUCCUUGAAGAGAAGCCGUAUAGCCUUAUGAUGUUGCGAUGCCGGAUAGUUGUCAAAGUUUGGAUUUCAUUCUCAAAACUUUGGAGAUUAAUUGUUGGAAUGUCAUUAGAGUCAUUCGUGUUAAGCCUCUUCACUGCAACAACUUGACCUGAUUCGAGCUCUGCCUUGUAUACUCUUCCAAAUCCGCCUCUCCCAAUGCAGUGUUUCUCAUGAAAGUCGUCUAUGGCCUUGACAACUUCCCGAAAUGUGAAUUUCACUUCCUCUUGCAAUAUCAUUGCUUCAAAACUCUCGAAGUUUUGAGAAGUUUUGAUUACCUGAGGCCGGAUCGUGGACCUCUUGCGAAACAUAAGAAAGAAAAAAAUGGCAAUUGCAACAGUUGCGAAACCGCAAAAGGAAUAAAGGAUAAUGGAUACUUUAUUCUUGUUAGCCCUUUUGGAAUGUGUACUGGAAGACUUACAUUCAGUUUGUCCAUCUGCAUGACUCCACAAGCCAUAGUUACCAACAAAAGCACUUGUUGGCGCCUUUUCGAAAAUGCCACAGGUUGGUAAUGGCCCUGUCAAGUUGUUAUACGAAAAGUCGUAGCUACUUAGAGUUAACAUGUCAGCUAAUGCUGAUGGGAUUUCGCCUGAGAGAUGAUUGCGUGAGGCAUUGAAAACCUCUAAUGUUGUGAGCAUGUGCAAUUCUGAUGGUAUUGCACCUGAUAGUGAAUUGCUGCUGAGAUCCAAGUAGACCAAACCUGUUAAGCCUGCGGCGAGAAACAGAUGAAUUGGCAUUACCCCUAUCAAAUUGUUAUUAGACAAUGAAAGAAGCUUGAGGUCCAACAUACCUGAAAUCCUUGGGAUCACUCCUGUGAAGUUGUUAGCAGACAAAUCGAGUUCACAAAGGUGAGAUAAAUUGCCUAGACUCUGAGGAAUCUCUCCUGUAAAGUGGUUAUUGGACAAAUGGAGUCGAUAAAGCUGAGUUAAUUUGUCUAGACUCUGAGGAAUCUCUCCUGUCAAUUGGUUAUGGGACAAAUAGAGUCGCUGAAGCUGAGUCAAUUUGCCUGGACUCUGAGGAAUCUCUCCAGUCAAGUGGUUAUGGUCCAAAGAGAGUCGCAGAAGUUGAGUCAAUUUGCCUAGACUCUGAGGAAUCUCUCCUGUCAAGUGAUUAUGGUCCAAAUAGAGUACUUGAAGCUGAGAUAAAUUGCCUAGACUAUGAGGAAUCUCACCUCUGAAUUCGUUGGAAUAAAGCCUUAGAUACUGCAAUUGUGUCAACAGCCCAAUUUCUGCUGAAAUGGUUCCGCUGAAGCUAUUGUCUUGAAGGUACAAAGAGACCAAUUCCGUCCAAUUGGAGACCAGAGAAGGAAUGAUUUGACCAAUAAAUAGAUUAUUAUCUAAACGCAAUUCAACGAGGUUUUUCAGAUUGGACAAGGACAGAGGCAGUUCCCCACUGAGUUUAUUGGAAGACAGGGACAAGUGGGUGAGGUUUGUGCAAAGACCAAGCUCAGAAGGGAUAGAAGAGUUUAAGGAGUUGUAUGAAAGAUCAAGGGACUGGAGCUCCUUGAGUUUGCCUAUAGAGGGUGGAAUUUUCCCUUCCAGAAAAUUAUGACUCAGGUCAAUAUAUUGAAGACCAGAAAUCAAACCUAUACUGUCCGGAAUUGGGCCAGAGAAUCCGUUAUAACUGUUGUACAAAGAGUUGUUGCUCAAGUCAAGUUGUGAGCCUGGAGAGAUUUCCAAUGGCAUAUGGUAUAGGCCCUCGGAAAUAGUUGCCACUCAGGUCGAAGUGGGUGAGACUCGGAAAUAGGGAAAAGUCGAAAAGAGCCAGUGUUCCGUUAAUUUCCAUACCGGAGAGCUGUAUUUCGGAGACUGUUCUGGUUUUGGUGCAGACAAUGGCAGUCCAGUUGCAGAGGCUGUUGAGGUUGGUGAGGGACCAUGAAUUGAGUAGCGAAGGUGGCCAUGAUGAUGAAGACAAGUCGUCCUUCCAUUUGAUGAGUGAUUCUGCUUGUUUUCCUGGAGAUGUUGACAUCGUUUUGAUCAAUGGUAAUGCGGACAGCAGCAGGAGCAUAUAAUGAAAUGUCAUGGUUUUGAGUUGCAUGAUGAUCUGUUAUUUUUCCGUGGAGUUUUUCCCUUUGUCCAAGGCACAAAUAAAUCGGAGCUAAUAACAACAUUGGAGGUGCAUGCAGACUUUACAAUCCUUUCUUUACGCUUGGAAUUUCGCACAUGACCGUUAAGCUCAAUGGAUUGGUACCAGAAAGUACAAGUUUUUCUGAAUUUCCUUUGUUUUUUUGGUCGCAAGGUUUUUCUGUUUUUCAUGUACUUUUUAUUAUAUGCGUAUGUUCGUGGUUCCUGAAUUUUGAAUUUCCAAGGGCAUUUGGCAAAUUUGUCCAUUUCGUUAGCCAAUUGGCUAAUUUUGUCGACUGAAUGUUUACAAAUUUUUCCAUUUGAAUUUCUAGUUAAUUAAUCUGAUUAAUUGUGACUUGAUUUUGCUAGUGUUUUGGUAAAAGACAUGAUUAAUUGUGACACAUUUCCAUGCCUUAACCCACACGCUGCUAGACUUAAACUCUGCUAAAAUGACUCGAUGUGACCAAUCAUUUUGAGUGCCAUAUCCUUUAGCUGUAUUUUUUCAAAAAUAAGACAUCUUUGAACUUUGUCCAGUCUGCGCAAAUAGACCGCGUCAAUCAACAUUAGCUUUAACACCACACAUCUCUUGAUUUUGAGUUGAAAAACCCUUUCCAAAAUUCCAAGCGUAAAGAAAGGUUUAGGAACUCUACACCUCCGAAAUUUAGUUUAGAUUUAGUUACAGAACUAAAAGAAUCUGUUAACUAGGUUAACUGAAUAUAACAAACCAUGGGUUCUACAUGAGAAUUUCUUCAAUAUGAAACCUAAAACUAAUAUCCAAAUUUGCACCCUCCGUUAGAUUUGGUGUCAAAACAUACUUUGAAUUAAAUAUGUCGUACUCACAUGUGUGCCACAUCAUCAAACUAACAAUUUUUUUUAAAGAAAUGCAACACUUACCAUCUAUUUGAAGGAAAAAUUCCAACUACCAUAGGUCAACUCAGGGAACUUCAGUCCCAUGAUCUUGGAAUCAAUUCCUUAAACUCUUCCAUCCCUUCUGAGCUUGGCCAUUGUACCGACCUCACGUACUCGUUCCUGGCUUCCAAUUUUCUAAGUGGGGAGCUGCCACUGUCCUUGUCCAAUCCGAGCAGCAUUCUCCAGUUGGAUUUCUCCGAUAAUGUAUUUACGGGUCCAAUCUUGCCUUCCGUGAUCUCCAAUUGGAGUCUACUUGCCAACUAGAAAUUGAUACCCCAAGCGUUGCUGCGGGAUUAGAAAUUGUAAGAAAAAUUAUGCCAUAGACGAUUAAUAUUAUUCACAUUAAAAAUGUUAGAAGAUUUUAACAAACAAAAGAUUUAAUCGAUACAGUCCACGUACAAACAAUCGUGAAACUUUUGUCUCUACAUAAAAAAAUUUAAAAAAAAAUUCGAAAAAGCAACUUGGGCAAGGGAAAAAUAAAAGUUCACUAAAGCACCUAAAGUUUCCGUCGAGUGCUCUUGAUUGUCAAGAAAGCAACCUAGGCAAUAAAAAAAAAUGAAAUAUUAAAAUGGCUUAUUAUAUUAAUACCCCACAAAUUGUUGAAUAAACCCCACAUAUUUAAUACACACCACAUUUACUUUUUCACUUAAAAAUUAUCUUAAUACACCCCACAUAUUUUCCCAUAAUACCCCCACGCCCCACAUUCUCAAUAUACACCUUAUAUUUUGUACAUACACCACACAUCUUUUAUACACCCCACAGUUCUCAAUAUAUACUCCAUAUAUUUCGGGUAGUUUGAUUAGCACAGAGCUCCGCAAUGAAGCUGCUAUAGUAAACCGCAAUGAUUCAAUUUUUUUUUUUUCUUUGAUUUGGUCUUAAAACAGAGCUCCGCAAUGAAGCUGCUAUAGUAAACCGCAAUGAUUCAAUUUUUUUUCUUCUUUGAUUUGGUAUUAAAAACAAAAGAGCUCCACAAUGAAUUUGAAUGUAAUUUUUCUUACACAACCUCCAUUAAAAAGUAAACCUUGUUUUUACAAAUGUACUCUCGCCUUGCAAUCAAUAUAUUUCAAUUCAGUUUGUAAAACAUAAAUCAGUCACAAUCAAGACAUAUCGUUUCGGUGGUGGCUAUACUAUUUAGACCUGGUAAUAGCUUAAAUUGUUCCACACGAUCUUGGUAGUUGGCGUAAAGGUGUCGAGCGUUAUUUACUGCAAGAGUAUGCCAAUUUUGUGCAACCGGUGGCAUGGGAUGUCUUGGUGCCAAACGUAGCUGUACAAAAUAAAAGGAGUCAAUUAGCUUUCAAAAACAACGUUCAAUGUUGCAAAAAAAGUAAGUCAACUUUUAGUACCUGUAUAAAGUCAUUGUCAUUGACUAAACCAAUUGCAAUCUCAGGAAGAUUAGUGGGCUCAUCAUCUCCUAAUACAUAUAAAGGUAGGAAUGUGAGGCAUUGCAAACGAGAUAAAAAAAUCACUACUACACGAUAACAUGAAGCUAUAAGAUGGCCCAUAUCUGGCAUGCUCAUCCAAUAGAGUUCCAGUGCAUAUGAAUCUUCAAAAUAGUCAAGUGCUUAGUCAAUCUUAACACGCCUCUCUUUCCAACCAAAAGCUUGCUCAUAUAGGAAUGGGCAACCAUGUACUUCCGCCAAUAGGUCCUUACGUACCCUUGGCCAUGAAUCUUGGCCAAAUCUCAUUGCCUCAGCUAUGACUCUAUAUCCACAAUUACCAUCUCCAAGGACAUCAAUUGCAAUAGUAAUGUAUUGUUUUAUUACCUCAGGGAACUGUCCUAUAUAUUGAUGCGUAAGGGCGGCCGGAUUGUGUAAAAUUGAGCUAUAAGUCUGUAUAGUAAUCAAGGGUUACUUAGUGAAUUCACAAUUAGUAUAUCAAACAUCACAACUAUAAAGAUAAGUGUAUACCUUCAAUUUGCGUGGUCUUCCCCUUGGUUUCUUUUUAGAGGGUUGUGGCUGGCUAUCAUGGCCUGAAAGAGCUUCUGCAAUCUCAAAGGCCGAUGGCAAACGACGAGUAGAAGUGUCAACUUUACGUGGACGUCCUUUGGUUUUAAUUUUUUUAAUUGGUUCUGUAAGUGUCGUAGAACUUGGGUUCAUCAACUCCUCUAUUUUAAUGCAUAGUUGUCGUCUAGAUUCAUUAGUUUGACCCUCAAACCAAUUGACAAACCAUUCAAUGAGUGCUCUUAUUGGAAGAAUUGGGGGACUAAAAGUCGAAGGUUCAAUGAUCAUGUCCAACUUUCUCCAACGAUGAUGUAUACAAUCAAUUGGAAUUGGUUGACUACUACUCCUAUACUUUGCAAUUUCAUGAGCACAUGGGAGUUGGUGUGUACAACGAAGAGUACAACCACAUGAUACAACAUCAUCACCAACUGAGUCGAUUCUAUUAAAAAAAAAAAUUAUAUGUGUAACUAUACACCAUAAAGAAACAACAAAUCCUCAAUUUACCUUUUUGCUUCACACACAAUUAUGUUUAAUGCUUCAAUGGAUACAAAACCUCUUAACUCUCUCAACUCUUCAUGCUUCAAACCAUGGUAGACAAAACAUCGACUCUGCUCAAAUGAGGCAUUUAGUUCAGUGUGUUGCAACUCUAAUAACGCGUGAAUAUUAUUCCACAAUAUAUCAAAGCUAAGCUGGCUAGAGCUAAUCAUCUGUUUUAGCUUUGAAUGUGCACUUUCCGCCCUGUUCAUUAGUAAAAAUUAGUAGACAUAAUAACAACAUGGCUAUAUAUUGAGUAAAACAAGAAUAAAAUUACAUGUUACUUGUUUUGUACCAAAAUGCAUACAAGUGUCAGUCCAUGCAGCCACAAACUUUUCCUUGUGCUCAUUCAGCCAUGUAGUUUUCAAGUAAUCAAUACCUUCAUGAAAUGAACUAAAUUUGGAUUCAAAGGCAUGCCAAUUAUGUAAGUACUCCUCUUCUGUUGAUGAACUUACCAAGGUUUGCCAAUCAUUAAAAAACAUAUUCCAAACCUCCUCUAAUGUGAAGAGUUUCUUGCAAUUGGUUGCAACUGCUUGAUUUAUAUGCCAUCUACACAAUAAAUGUCGAGUACUAGGAAAAACAUUACGAAUGGCAUUCAUCAGUGUUAAAUCUCGAUCAGUGACAAUCACACCAAGAAUACAAUCAUCAUUCAUUAGAGUUUUCAAUCUUGUCAAUGCCCAUGUGUAAUUGUCUUCCUUCUCAUGGUCAAUGAAAGCAAAUGCAACCGAAAAUGUAAUAUUAGUUGAAGUUACCCCUACAAUCUCCAAGAGUGGAAAACGAUGCCUAUUAGUCUUGUACGUGCAAUCCAUGAUAAGUACAUGUGGGAAACAAUGUAAGAUAUCGACAUUAAUUGGGUGAGUCCAAAACAAGUCACUAACAACAUUAUCAACACCAAUACUUCGAUGAUGCUCAAUAUAGUUGUACUCAGCCAACUUACAUAACAAUUGUUGCAUUUCUGAUCUCCCUGCUUUUUCUUUUGUCCGAUGAUAGUGUCUUGCAUUGUAUAUUGUCCUCAUCGUUGUUACAUUAAGUGGAUCUUUUUUCCUUAUGGUGUUCAAAAUAACUUUGGGUCUCACUAAACUUGUAGACAUGUCAACUAAAAGUUCAUUUUGCUCUUUAGUUAAUCGUCCAACAAAAGAAUGCCCUUCAAGAUAUUGUGAAUAAGUAUGGUUAUGCACCCCACACUCAACCUCCAAUUUCCAUUCAUCUCAUUCUCCAACGUUGACUCCUUUCAACAUAAAUGGACAUCUGCAUUUUUUAGUACUAGUAUUCCUAGGUUCUAUCUUCUUCUUAUUAUUUGCAUCAGAAUUUUGGUCAUUAAUAUCAGACUUCCUCAAUAUGGAUCGAUACUCGCCAUGUCUCUCACAAGCAAAUGUUAUUCGAGCUCUCUUCCUCCUUCGAUCAACCCCUCCCGUGUCAGACCUCUUAAUGACAAUAACCAUAUUAUUCUUUUUUCCUUGUGUGCGAGCCCAAUCAAGCAAAUCAUUUUUACUUUUGAACACCUGUACAUACAAGAUCAUUGCCAUUUGCCACUAACAAAAUGUUUGUAGACAUGUUAAGAUUCCAACCCAUAUGUUUUUCCCUAUUAUGAACCUAAUGCACUAUGCUGCAUAAAAGAAUACAAGAGUUUCCAUGAAAUUCACAGAUGCACAUUCAAUAUACUAAAAAUAGUUACCUCGUCAGUUUUAAAUGCGUUUGUGUAAUCAACGACGCUCGUUGUUGCAACCUCAAUGUCCCCUAUAGAGGUAUUGCCUUGUAUGCUAUCCUAUUUAAAUACACCAAAAAUUAUUAUCAAAUCCUCAUUUAUUUAUUAAGAAUCAUACACCUCAAUUAUUUGUUAAGAACCAUACAACUCAAUAUCAAUAGGCAGAGUGACUUUCUUUUUGGUAAAGGAAAAAAAUAGGAGAGCUAGAUAAUAACCCAAAUUCUCAUGCAUAAAAACAAAGAAUACGAAAUCAAUUAGACAGUUUGGCCUGUUGCUUACAUCCACCCUCAGUUUCUUGGGAAUUUAUAUAUCCUCCAAAUUCAAAUGUGGAUUAUGGUAACUCCGAAAACCUUACACACCACUAUUAGACAGAAAUUUCACCCAAAAUCUUAGGGACUCAAGACCAGAAAUACACAGCACAAUCUAGAAGCUUCUCUGCUGUGAUUGUCACUGGGGAGAUUCAAAGGUUUACAAAUAAAUGCAAUGGUAUAUAUCAUAUUAGUGAAGUGACCAACACUCUCACUGUUCUAAAUCUUUCUCUCUGUGAACUGAACUCAACCAAGAGGAGAAGGUAAAUAGAUUUGGUCUCUAGGAAUUCUCUCUCAAAUCUAGGAGGAAUGAAGAGGAGUAAACAGAUGAAUAACAAGAAACGUUGUUUAUAACAUAUUUUAUCAAAGGCACAAUCUACUAUGAAAAGAUGCGUAACUUCAACCCCAUAAAGUGUCGUCAACUCCACAGAGCAAAGAGUAGACCGGGGGGUUAAAGAACUAAAAUGGUUUUGGAUUCUGCCAGGAACAAUGAACAAGGGACUACACGUCACUCAACGAACUGGAUAUAGAAGUUUAAACAUCGCAACGAACUCAAGAUUAAAUUAUUAUCGAUGUCAUCGAAAUCACUAAAAUAAUGAAAAAUAUGAAGUCUUACCUCAUGUGAAGGUUCCGAAACAUUGAUUUCAUGUUCCAUUCGUCAAAAACAAUUUUUUCUCAAUCAACAUGUUUGUAGUUUCAUUGGUUAGAGUUUUGUUCAACAAUGGAGGGUGGGAGGGUUUUGAUAGUUGAGAAGAUAAAUAAGGGUUAGGGUUUAGUGAUUUGGGGUGUAUUUAGAGAUUUUUAUUUUAUUUUUUUUAAACCUAAUAAGGUCAAAAUUGUCAUUGCAUAAUGGGGUAAAUAAAUCAUUUAAUAUUAAAUUUUAAUGUGUGGUGCAUUCAACAUUUUAUGGGGUGCUAAUAAAAAAAGCCUAUUAAAAUACAAGCAAUUAAUUUAUACAUCAACAAGUUUAUACUAUAAAAAAAAGGAUAAAGUAUGGUUACACAGUCUUUUUUUUGGUGGAAAAGUGUUGGAAUUUAGGAUUAUUUUAUUGUUUGAAUUUGGGUUUAGCCCAUUAGUAUUAGGGUUUCGUUUUCUUACUUAUUAGGGUUAUAUUAGUUCUCUAUAUAUAUGAUGUUUUGUAGCUCGUAGAAUUAUCAAGUUAUUCGCAAUGUAGUCUCUUGAGUUAUGUAGCUGUCAUGGCAAUCUUUUGUUCACUUAAUAAAAUUAUAUUAGUUUAUAGUUAGUUUGUUAGUUUGUUAAUCGUGCACUUUGAUAUUCAACUUAGUAUCAGAGCAGGUUUGAUCCUCCGGGUUAAAUCUGUUCUUGGUAGCUAGUUUGUUUGUCUUGUCAUCUUCUUGGUUGUGAUUUGUUUUUUUCGUUGUGGCCUAGGCUAGGGUUUCGCAGUUGCCACAAAAAAAAAAAAAAAAAACUGAAGCUUUAUUGCACGAACGGCCUGCAACCUGAUCAACCCCGAUCGACCCACUUAGCGACCUGUAAAGCAGCCACAACCCAAGUCCGCUGAUCCGCCGCCGCUCUGAUCCGUAGACCAUUGCCAUCACCAUCGCAUAAUCAAAACUACCCUUGCCGUCGUCACAACCGCCUCACAUCUCCGCCUGAACCAUGAUCCAGACCCGUGAAAUCAUCUACCCACCACUGAUUGCGCUGCCUUCGCACCGUACCCACAUCAUCUCCGCCGCUUUGAUCUGCACUUCACUGCCCUGCUAUCCCAUCGCGUCAAGAAUCCCAGAAUUGAGAUCCCAUACCUGCACUCGGAUUUGUUUUCUCUAGAGAACAUUGCCCAGAUAGAAGAAAGGAAUAAGGAAAUAGAAGCUGAAAAAUAGAAAAAGAAAACAAGAAAAGAGGAAAAAAGGAAAGAAAAAAAAAGGUAUGGAGCUCACAAUCUGUUGGGCUAUUAUGAUUUGCUUGGAGGCCAUCGGUUGGGCCUUGUUGAUUGAAGCCUGGAUUGUUCAUUUGCUCGUUUGAUUGCUCGCCGGUUUGCCUUGUCGUGUCUGCCUAAAGGAGCUUGCCUUGUCGUGUCCGCCUAAAGGAGCUUAUCUUGUCUUGUCCGCCUAACGAAGCUUGCAUCCACGUUUACUUGUUGGCAAACUCAUGACGUGUACCGCCGUGAGUUUGAUGGGGGUGUUAGAAUUUAAGAUUAUUUUAUUGUUUGAAUUUGGGCUUAACCCGUUAGUAUUAGGGUUUCGUUUUCUUGCUUAUUAGGGUUAAGUUAGUUCUCUAUAUAUAUAUGAUGCUUUGUAGCUCGUAGAAUUGUCAAGUUAUUUGCAAUGUAGUCUAUUGAGUUAUGUAGCCGUCAUGACAAUCUUUUGUUUACUUAAUAAAAUUAUAUUAGUUUAUAGUUAGUUUGUUAGUUUGUUAAUCAUGCAUUCUGAUAUUCAACUAAAAGAAUCUAGUUUUAUACCAGUUAGAGAGGACUUUUUUCAGUGAUUUAAUAGCCUCUUGUUUAAAUCACUGCAUUCUAAUAUUGUAAAUGUAAGUAUUGAGAUUUUAUGUUAUAGCUAAACAAUCAAACUAAAAACCAAGUUAACACCCAUAGAAUUAUCCCCUGCAUUCUCAAGAGGACCUAAUUCACUUCUUAAUUCUACCUAACAUGUAUAACACUUAACACUUCAUCUGUAGCUUAAAAUAAUAAAACAAUAAUGAAAAUGGUAGAAAUCAGACAUUAAUUUUGAAAUCCUGAACAAAUACAAAUUAGAAGACAGGACAUUAAAGUAACUGGUAGAUUGAAGACUGACUAGGUUGAGAGUGGAGCUUGCUCUGCACUUCACAAAAAGUCAUAGAAAGUACCGACUCUUAGGUACCGUUUGGUACGUGGGACGGGACGGGACGGAACGGGACGAGCCGUUCCGUCCCACGUUUGGUGUGCCUAAAAAUUGUGGAACGGGUUGUCCCAUGGGACGAAAUUUGGCUGAUUUUUCGUUCCACCUCUUCCUCCUGGAACGACCCUUUCCACAUCCGUGGAACACAAAUUUAUAACAUUUUAUGACAAAAUUUCUCCUUAUCUUUUUCAAUAUUUACAUCAUCUAUUCUGUCCUGUUCCAUCCCAUCCCGUCCUGUUCCGUCCCGUCCCGUCCCAUCUGCGUUCCAAACGGUAGCUAAGAACAAUCGGGUUAGUCUAUGAACAAUGAGUAGGUAAGGAAAACAUAUUUUCCAAUCGAAUAGAUAUUUAUGAAAGAAAAUAAGAGAAUCAGGAUGCCUAUUCUAAUAUCCUAAGCAGGAAUUUGGGAAUUUUCCCACAACCUACACUAAAAGUGGGAUAGCUAAGGAAAACAAUAAGCAACAAUUAUUUUGUUAACAAAGAAAGAGAUAUGUUAUCCACACACCUCAUUUUACUUCUCACACACCCCUUGAUAAUUUUUGUCUAUUGAUCUUCUUUAAUUCAUCCGAUCCGACGGUCGAAAAUUAAAAACAUGCGUGUGAAGUAAAAUGAGAUGUGUGGAUAUCACACCCCAAAAAAAAAGUCUAAUUGUGUGAACAUGCGCAAUUCAAUGGAUUGCCGCUGCCUGGCCCGCCGAAAGCUUCAUUGGAUCGGCCGUUCCGAGAAGCUACCCGGAAGUACAAGUUUUUCUGAAUUUUCCUUUGUUUUUUUUUGUCGCAAGGUUUUUCUGUUUUUCAUUUACUUUUUAUAAUAUGCACAUAUUUGUCCAUUUGAAUUUCUAGUUAAUUAAUCUGAUUAAUUGUUACUUGAAGAUUUUGCAAGUAUUUUGGUAAAAGACAUGAUCAACUCGGUUCACUUGCUGCUCUGCUGCUUGCUUUAUUUGAAAUCACUCAUCAGAACAUCUACUGUACUCUUCUAGAUAUUCUUUUCCUUUUUGAUUAUGUGUUAUGUGUUGUGUUUCUCGUGUUUACGUGUGACGCAUUUUCAUGCCUCAACCCACACGCUAGACGCUGACGACUGAUAUUUAUUCGUCAACUCCACACUUGACCAAGACAUCCUUUCACAGUCCACGCACUCUAGGUGUUCGAUCGAAAGCGCCCGUGCUAUUUCAACACCGGCGUGAUGGUGACCGACUUGGUAGAUGGACCGCUUACGAGAAAGAUCGAGAAUUCGAUGGAGAUUCCCAAGGAGAAGCGGAUAUACGAGCUGGGUUCUCUUCCGCCGUUCUGGUGUUCGGCGGCAACGUGGAAGCGAUUCACCACUGAUGGAACCAGCAGAAGAUUCGGGAAUGCCUUGCCCUGUCGAUCUUCUUUGGGCCCCUUACGACCUCUACAAACACCAUCAAAGUCACCUUCAAGAUCUGCAUCUUCUUCAACAUCACCACCAUCAACAAACACAUCAGCAAUUUUUUAUGUUCUAGCACAAUACACAGAGGAUUAUUGUUUGAUUAUUUACCUUUUUAUAGAAAUCAUUGUUGCAUAGGAGGAAAUAUGUUUUUUUAUCAGAUGUAAAUAGUGAGAGAGAUUUGAAUAGGGUGAAAUAGGACCGGCGAUGGGGAGAGAGGAGGGAUAGAGUUUUGUUUUAAUUAAUUUAAUUGUUAAAUAAAAUUUAUUAAUUUUGUAUUU
rnacentral:lncRNA from 1 species